AGAAAACAACUCACUGAAAUAGAAGUUUCAUAUUAACAGCUCUUAGUUUUUAACUUGUUCACUUUCCAUUUUGGUUCCUCAAUAAAUUUUUUCUUCUCCUGACAAUGCAUUUAGCUGUCACAUGUAUCUACCUUUAAUUUUUUUUUUCCCUUUUCUUUAAUUCUCCCUCUCUCCAUUCUAAUUUUUGCUGUCUUGGUACCUUCUAUUUUAUGUUAUGUAAUUAAUGCUGCUCUAUUUAUCCCUACAGGGGUGAAGAUAUAUUUAUUUCAGUUUGGAACCUGCAUCAUAGUCCUCAUAUUUGGGAUGAUGCGGACAAAUUUAAUCCCGAAAGAUGGCCUCUAGAUGGACCUAAUCCGAAUGAAACAAACCAAGAUUACUGGUAUGUUAUCAACUUAGUGAAAGAGAUAAGUUAAUAGAUGGAUUGUUUUGCUUUCCACUCACUUGCAUUUGGUACUAUUUGACUCAUUGAGUGUCUGAUGAUGCGCUUAUGGCUAAUGUCUUAUUUUUCAUCUAGUUGCUGCACUUAUAAACAGUUCUGCCGAGUUUCUUGUCAGCUAUUUUGUUGAAUGAUUUCUGCUUGAGGUCAAUAUCUAGCAAUUUGGUAAUUACAGUUGUGAAAUCAAAUUAAGUAUCAAUGGUGGUCUUCUACAAGUAUGCCUUUUGCUUUAAUUUUAUGAGAAUGAGUGAUCAAUUGGUAUUACAAUUUAAUCACGUCUUAUUUACCAAAAUGAACAUGUCCUGAUCAGUCUAUAGGUUAAUGCUAUUUUCUAGGAUGUUAAAAGCAUAUAUUAAAAAAAAUUUCACCCUGGGCUUGAGCUUUUUUCCACCAGACCUCCCCUAUCAUAUUGGCAUGGGGUAGUUUACCAGUACUGCAAUUUUUGGUGCCUAAUGUAAAAGUUUACCUCUUAUUUGUACAUUUACUGUUGUUACCAUCUUCUUAUCUAUUGUUAUAAACUUCUCUGGGAUGUUAAAAAUAGGGUUAAUUACCCUUAGGUGACACAUAUUUUGACAAAUUUUAAAAAGGUGACAUAGUUUAAAAGUACUCGAGCAGGUGACAUUCUGUUAACUUUUGCUGUUAGCUUCAACAACCGAGGGCAAAAUUGGAAAAAACAGAUUUUUUCUUUUUUUCCCCCCUCCAUAAAGCCAAAGAGAUAAAAUUGUUGGAUUUGUAUAAUGCUUUACAAUUCUUAAGAGAUCUACUUCUGUAUGUUCACAAAUUAGCUUGGUUCAACAAGAAAUUUUUUUUUUAAGAAAUUGUUUGGUUUAACCCAAAAAAUGCCCUGUUAAUUAGAUUUAGAUUCAAAUUUUUAUAUAUUUUUCUAUUUAAAAAAUUAAAAAUAAGUGUGUAGGGGCAGAAACAUCAUUUUGUAACUAAUUGUAGGGAUAGAAUGUCAUUUAGUAAUAAAUAGUAGAGGUAGGAACGUCAUUUUGUAACUAAUUGUAAGGGCAGAAACGUUAUUUUGUAGUUAAUUUACUAUUCUCGUUAAAGUUAAUGGCUAAAGUUAGCGGAAUGUCACCUGCUCGAGUAUUUUUAAAAAUGUGUCACCUUUUUAAAUUUGUCAAAACAUGUGUCAGUAAGGGAUAAUUAACCCUUAAAAAUAUAAUGAGAAAUUGGCUUCCCUUUUUUGAAUGUGUACUUGAUUCAUGUUUUCCCUUGGUAUUCAUUAGAAAUUACAGCCUGCUUCUCCAGAUAAACAUCGAACUUUUUAAUCCUACACAUUUGGAUUGAGAUUACUGCUAUUGCCACUUGUACAUGUUUAUGAUUGUGCAAGCAAAAAGGGAUAGCUUUACUUUUAAAUUUGCGAUUGAAUUUUUGAAUUGGCAUUAUUGGUUUGAAGCACUUCUAUUUGUUGUCAUUACCAUAAUCUCUCUCUCUCUCUCUCGCUCUUGGUCCUUUUAAAAAAUAAAUAAAUAAAUAAAUAAAAUCAAACAGGGUCCAACCAUUUUUUUUUACUGUUAUACCUGCGCUUUACAGAUAACUAAUACCAGUAUCUAUUGUUUUAGUUACUUACCAUUUGGUGGAGGGCCACGGAAAUGCGUAGGUGAUAUGUUUGCUACCUUUGAGGUACUUCGAUUGUCGCUGCUAGUUUUAUAGACCUUUUCAUUAGCUAAAUAAUAUUUAUGGACACUGUCCUGGUACUGAAGUUUGCACAUUCGUUAUUUAUCUAUUUAUUUUACUUGGUAUAUGUGUUAUUUCUACAGUUACAAACUGUUAGAUCAUUAUAACCAUUUCAGAUCUUUCUUAUAAAGCCAUUUUCAUUGUGCUUGUUAUACUCUUAUAAUUUACAGAACAUAGUAGCAGUUGCGAUGCUUGUUCGGCAAUUUAACUUUCAAAUGGCACUUGGGGCUCCUCAAGUAAGUCCAUUGCUGUUAAAUUUUCCUAAAUCAUUGCCAAAUGAGUUUAUUGGAAACCUGGUGCAUGAAGUUGAUAACUUUUCAUGUCCUUGAUUUGGAAUGAGGAAAGGGAUUUCUUUUCAAUUUUUUGCCUUCAGAUAUCUCAAUGCAACUUAAACAUUUAGAUAAUUUGUGCUAUGUUUCAACUUGUUUUGGGGAGGACCUUUUCUGGGCUCUAAGUGAGUCGUAUGUUACAAAUAUUUGUUAAUGAGUCGAAGCAUAGCUGAUGAUGAAGUAAAAUCUUGCUUUUUUUGAGAGAUAUAUUAUUAGGAACUGGCAGUCCUUUUUUGUUGUGUGUUGGGGUAGUAGAGGGUUCUGGUUAGAGAGGGGGAUCUAGAAAAGUGAAGAAUCUACCAAUAAUUUGCGGUAGCCUCAUUUAUUAUCCGUCAAAGCUCCUUCAAAGGAGAAACAAGUAUUUCUUUGUUUUGAUUUCCCUUUUUCCCUUGAACUGUGCUGGGGCCUUUGAUCACCCAAUUGUUUUCUCUAUCUUGAGCUUCUAUUACUUUAGACAACUAUACGAGAGAAAUUUUACAACGCCUUAGAUUUUAAUUAUCAAUUAUCACAAUUGAUUAAGGCAAACUUUUCAGAUACAUGUAAAGGAUAAAUAUGUGUGCAGGUUGAGAUGACAACAGGAGCCACAAUCCACACGACAAAUGGAUUAAGAAUGACAGUAACGCGAAGAAUAAAACCUCCCAUAAUGCCAGUGUUGAAAGAAGAUGCAUCUGUCGGCAGUUCUUUCAAUGGAGACACGACUCAUGGUAAUAAGCAUGAUAUUUCUCCUGCUCAUUUCAAAUCACUAUAGAUAUCCUUGCUAUGUUGAAGCCAUACAACAUGAGAAAUAUGACGGGGAUGGUUGUAAGAAUGGAAGAAAAAGGCAAAAGAAAAACAAACAUGCAAGGCUGUCUUUGUCAAAUCUUCAAUUGCUACAUUAAGAGAGGCUAAAUGCCUAAAUCAUAGAAUUGUGUUUAGAAUUGUCAUAAUGAAACAUGGAUUUUGCACAUACGCUUCUAAUAUUUCAUCCUCCUUUAAAAGUUCUAUCUUGUUUCAUAGUAACUAAAAGACAAUAUUUAAAAGUGCCUACCAAACAAAUUUAGUUACAGAGUCCACCAUGCACCUCUGACAGCAAGAGUGCUGAGAAUUAAAGUACUACAUUUUACAACACACAAACUGUACUAAGGAUGUGAGCACACGAAGAGAACAUGCCUUGAAUCACAUGUACGCCCCACAGACCAUCAACCAUCCAAGCCUUUCAGCAUCCAGGGCUUUAUAAAACCUAAGAAACCCUCUUACAACUCUCUUUGCAGAACAGCCCCACAAAAUUGGCAACAUAUCAAUGUUUUAAACUUCUCCAGCGACUCUCAGUUUGUGUACAUCAUUCAAUGGUCCGAGAGAUAUCAAUGCAACCUCAAAAAUCAUUUCCAGUCUCAAUUUUGAAGCUGGCGAGUAGGAUAUCUGUGGAUAACCUCAAUUACGAAGUAGAUAGGAAGAAUCACCGUCAGACUUCAAAAGGAAGUAGAUAAGAAUCAAAAUCAAUACAUGAGGUAAUUAGUUCUGUUAUUUUCACUGUAAAUAAUCUCAACUAGAAAACUCAUGUGUGACCAAAACAUCGGCGAAUGGAAAGUAAUCCUCGGUGAGAAUGGGGUAACUCUGGUUCGGACUCCGAUUUUUUGCCAGGAAAAUGCUUAUAGAAGGCUUUUACAGCACCUGUAACUCCAUCUUCAUUUUCCAUGGCCUUUGCAAGUUCCACAGCACGCUCUUUCACCUGGGCCAAAGCAAGUCAAUGUUAAGAUUGAAGCCCGCACAAUUUGUAUAAUGAGUAUACCAAAAGAGGUCUGAUUCAUUGUUGGACAAAAUUAAGAAGGGUUUUCACGGAUACUGAUAGUAAUGGGAAACAACUUGUAGAUCAGAACCAGACUUGCUAUUUGACACAAUGGUAAGCUUAACAUGCAGCAAAGUCAAUUUUAUAGCAAUUUGAGCUACCUUGGGAUGUAGCAUGAACCUUAUAGCAUCAACCAACUUGUCUAGUGAAAACUCAUCAACUGGGAUUGGUGCAGGGCCCAAUCCUCUAGCAUGCACCCGCUCUCCCCAAAAAGGCUGGUCUCCAAAGAAAGGUACAAUGGUUGUUGGACACUAUGUUGCAUGGAAAGAAAUGAGUUACCUAUUGGUGAAUGAAAUAAUAAAAAAUGGAAGCCCAUGAAGAAAUAAUAAAUAGAAAAUAAUUACUGCAGCUUUAAGACCGGCAGCUGUUGUUCCAGCACCACCAUGAUGAACCUGAAAAUUUUAUACCGAAACAAUAUCACAGAAAUUACAAUAAUAAUACAAACUGAUCCAAUAUUAAAAGUGUCAUAAAAGUGUUCGGUAAAAGCUUUUUUUAUACUAGAUAAUAUAAACUGAUAUGGCAUAAAAGAAUUGAGAUAGUUGUAACAACAAAAUUAAUGAAGUAGAUGCUACCAUGUGGCAAUGAUGCAAGAGUAUCACAUCAAUUUGUAUGUAAGUUUGUUGUCUUUACACCAAAAAAUACAUGUAAAGAGAGAACAUAAAAAUCUACCAUUAAGUGAAAAAAUCAUGGCGUGCUAAAUAAACUAGAUGGUAAUACAAUUCAACCAACAAAGCAAUACUAAUUUGUACAGUUUCAACUACAGGAAAAUAAAUAAAUAAAACUUAAUAAAUAUAGUGACAGUUACCACGGCAAGGCAUCGCGAGAAAAGCCAGUCGUGGGGGCAAUUGUCCAGUAAGUACAAAAAGUCCUUUGAUUCUGCCACUGGAAAAAGAUUAUCAAGUAUUCACAUCCAUAACCAUCAAAGUCCUGAAUAUCAGCAGCAACUAGAAUCCAAUGUGCUUCAUGAAAUCAAGAUAGAUACCAAGACUUACAAUUCCCAAGACCUCCCCAGCCUUUGUUGAUGAUGCCUCUGUGCCCAGUAAUUUCCAAUGCUUUUACAAUUAUUUCAGUCAUCUUCUCUGGUUCUUCAACAGGCUUAAUUUGAAUUGAAAAUAAGAAUGAAUAUGUAGCAAUAAAGAAAAUGGAAAUAAAUAUUUGAUAUGAAAGAUGGGUAUUUCGGGUAAAAAAUUGGAAAGAUAUCCGUGACAAACAACUUAUAUACAUAAAAAUGCUCCUGCUUUCCAAUCAUCUUUAUUGUUCCAACAGAUAUGUUCUAAUUUUGCAAUAAUUAGAAUCUGACUAAAACACUUGAGAACUGAGUAGAGCUUUAGAGAUAGAAAAGAACCACUAAAGCAAUUGCAAAACUUAACCAGUUGAGUUGCUAUGGAAAUUGGAAGCAACAGUUUUAUUUUUCUUUUACCAAUUUGAGCCACAAAGGCUUCAUAAUUUCCUGCAUGGUAAGCACAUAAAUAAAGAAUUUUCCAAUAACAAAUACAAUAUUUGAUACUUAUCCGAAUAUCUCAACAAAUGCAAAUAAAAAAUAUGAUAGAAGUGUAGAAGGAAACUCACAAGGCUGCCAAAACCAAUAUAGAUAGGCUUUUCACCAUCUUCUAACCAUUUUACAAGAGAAUCUGGAGGCUCAUAGGUUGAAGCCAGAUCAAGGAAACAAAAGCCGACAACAUCAAUCUUAGGUCCCCAGUCUGCUGAGGAAAGAAUAAGGCAAGACCACGAAAGAGUAGGGCAAGACCAGAUUAGAAUGACAUCCUCCCAAUAGCAACAACGAUAUGAAUAUCAAGAAAUCUUAAUUGAAAAAUAUAAGUAUUGACCUUUUGGUUUUGGAACAAGGUGAGGACUCCAUAUGUACGCGUAGGGCACAUCCAGAGGAGAGCUAUAUGAUCCACUCAAGUAUGUGACACGUCUUAGAUUCAGCCUCUUCUUCCUAAAAUCAUUAAUCAUGUCUCGUAUUCCAAGCCAUAUUAAUGCGUCAACAAUUUGAUAUGAUAGCUGCCACAGAGAUGAAUAUAUAAAAUUCAAAUAUAAAUUAAAAACAAGAAAUAAUCAUUACUUUUCAUUUGGAAGAACUCUUAUCCCACUGUGAUAUGUCGAGAAUGAUAGUUGCGUGGGAGAUAUAAAACGAGAUACACACUCAGGUUAAAGGCAAAAGACAAAGCAGUAGGCUAUUUUGAAGGUGAAGUAGCCACAAUUUAUCUAUGGCUUGAAUGAAACAAACAUGAUUGGAGAACUGAAAAUAGUCCUCAAAAGAUUUCUAGGAAGUAAGACAAGCAGUUCAACUGAAGCUUGUAAAGCAUGGAGAGUGAAGAGAAAGCCAAAUAGAAGGAUGUCUGUAUAGAAAUUGGAGUUUGGCAGUUUCAUUUACAUUCUCUGUUGAGAGAUCAUUUUGUUUUUACUUCCAUUUUAGAGUUUGGAUAGAUGUUGAUGUGGUAGGGUAUGGAAACCAAUGUACAUUUACAAUAAAAAAAUAGGUGUGUGUGCGCGCGCGCGCACGUGUGUGUGUUAAGAGUAAGUUGAUAAUAUAGACUCACUCUAUAGGCAACGGGUUGCUUAACACGGGACAACGGGUGGGGAAAUUCACUAGUUGGCCUGACAAACAGGAGGCAGAUGUUACCAAUGCAAAAUCUGAAACUUUUAUUUCAAAAAUACAUAUAGCAUCAACAUUAUCACAUCCAAACAACACUUACGUCCACGGCAUAGUGAAAAUUAUGUGCAGUGGUACUUUUAGUGAUUCUGCAACAUGUGUAUGACCUGAAUAAGUGCUUGCUCGUGUUAGCUGUCUUCAUCAAAACAAGGUUAGCAAAGUCUGUACAUGAACCAGUAUAUCUAGAAGUAAAGUCUGUAGUUUGUGUCUCCAGUUGCUAUCAUAGCACAGAACUUGUGAAAAUACAUAUCAUUGAAAAUAUUAGGGUUCUUCCCACUAUCUGACCAGUAAAUGAACAUUACUGAUUGGCAAAGAAGAUUAUCAACCAGUCAAAAAUUUCACAUUAUCAGACCAGUAAGUGAACUUUACUGAUUGACAAAUAAGAUUACCAACCAGUCAAAAUAAAUAAACUGUUGUCACAUCACUACAAGAUCCAUUUUAAGUUACCUAACCAUCAAAGAAUGAAAGUAUAGUUUUAUAAAGAAGGAUAAAAUAUGGAAAAUCCAUAGAGAAUCUAACCAUAAGCUGGGGGAUUCGCAAUUAUAGCAUCUGGUUUAAAUGGAACCAUAGUAUCAGGAUCAGGGUCCUUGCAUGCAGGAAGUAAAGAGUAAAUAAUUUCCUUUAAUUGAUUCCGCUGAAUGGGAAUUUCUGAGGGUCCUGAUGGCAAGAAGCCUUUAUUCUUGACCAUAUCUGCAUAGAAUACAGUGUUAAACCCACAAAUAUACAUCAUAUCGAACAGAAAAGAAUUAUAAGAAAAAUUAAAAACCAGAAAGCACAAAUUUAUGGUCAAAUGUCAUAAAUAAAAAUGGGAAAGACCUAAGCCUCUCAAUUCAUCGCUGCUCUGACACCCUUGCAGGAAAUAGGAACUUUAAAACGAAAAACGAAAUAUAAAAAAAGAAAAAAGAGAAGAAGAAAAGCAAUGAGCCAGGGAAUCUGCAUCUUUUCACAUUAAUAUACCAAAAAGAAAUUCAUAGAAAUCAAUCUCAGACAGUUGCCAAUCUCACUUCUCGUCAAUCUAUGUUCUGAACUGAUUCAAUUCAAAAACCAACAUUUUGUGAAGAACGGCGUUGGUAUAUUAAAGAUAUAACUGUUAUAAAUUAAUCUGAAAUGCAUGCAUAUUAUCGAGGGAAAUAAACAAUGAAGAUGGAGGACAAAGCAUUAUUCAAUUACUACAGAUGAGUUAUAGAGAUUCAGUAUGUCAUAUAAAAAAUUCCAUAGGUUGCAAAAAAAAUUUUAAAUGAUAUUAGUUAUAGCCAAAAGCCCAAAACCAAUAGCAAAUGAGGAGUAGCAUCUCCUCAACCCUGAAUAUGUUCAACCUUACUCCAAGAUCUUAAAUGCAAUUAUAACAAACUUAAUCGACAAAAUUGCCCCUGUUGCCUCCAAAGCCAUUAUGAAAAUUAACUUUACCAGAUGCUGAAAAAUUUUAAUUUCUGGACUCCUUAAAGUUAUUUGAUGUAGGACAGGCUAAGAUUACUAACGUCUAAUUUUUUUUUUUAAUAGUCCUUUUUGUGUUUAGUUUAACUACUUACUUUUUCAGAAGAAAAAAGGUAGGAAGGUGGGAAAAGCCCAAAUUGAUACUUUAGCCCCCUACCUCCCCCGAGGGCAGUUUAGUUUAAUUACUUGUUUAAGUUAAUUGAGUAAGAAGUGCGUUCAUUAUUUUUGUUGGAGUAAGAUUUUUAUUUCCUUCGCUUGUAAAAUCCUUCUUUUUGCUGCAUAUAAAAUGAAAGAUGGUAUCCCUAUAUGAGAGAAAAGAAGCUCAAACUCUCCUACCAGUUAUGAGAAAGGUUGCUUGUAAAAUUAUCAAAAUACAAACUGUUUCAGGAAUUACCAUGCUACAGAAUAAAUAGAUGAAACUAAGUCAAAUAAUGAAACAAGUAGGACAAAAUGUGACAGUAUUAAAAGGAUAUUAGAACACUUACAGCCAGCAAGAAUUUUUGGAUCUCCACCUAAAGGGAAAAACUCCAGUCCAGCACCCAAAACAAAGUCUUUGAAGUUUGCGUGAGUUGCUAAUCUAACUCUAUGGCCAUCUUCCUGCAUGCAAAUUUCUACCAACAUCAACUUUUAAUGCUCUAGUUCAUAAUUUCAACAACAUUACUGCAAAGGAGACACUAAAAUACUUCAAGACAACUUGAAGCAGAAAAAAAUCACCAAAUUCAGUAGAGCAUGUAGAUUUAUUACACAAUGAGAAUAAAUUAUUUAUCCAUUACACUUCCCUGCAAAUCCAACACAACUACAGAGGCUCAUUGCAACUCCAAUCAUAUAGCUUAAUUCAGAUCAAUAUCAAGAAUUGGGGAAGUAGAAAAAAUAAACAAUAUAAGCAGAAGAUAUAAAAGUUCAUAUUUUCCUGAAAUCAUAUGGCAAAGGAAAAUGAAAACAAGAGUAGAAGCACAGAACUGCAGCAGAGAGCCUGGUAUCCAAAAAUCAAGCUUCUUCAAGUACUAGCUUUUUUCAUAUACUAUAAAGCUGUCUCUUUUAUCAGAUCCAGCUACAGAAGAAAGCACUGCAGUCAUGCAGCUACAACAUAUGAUUACAAACUAAAAAACAUAUUCACACAGAAGAUCAAGAAGCAGUUUACUAAAGGUAGUGUUGAAACCAGAAAAUGCAUAUAACCUGUAACCGUUUUCCAAUUGCGACAAAUGGCUGCACGUCUCCUCGCGUUCCAACAAUAAGCAUUACUAUAUGAAGUGGAGGUAUACCAUGAACAUCUGCUGCUUCAAUGGGUUCUUGGUCAGUAGAGUCAUCAGUAUAAACAACUCCAGUUCCAAAAUCGAGGUUCUGUGGUUUGAUGUCUGCUGGAACUUCAAAUUGCACGGUUCCAUCAUCUUUAACAGUGGCAAGACGGUUUAGCCAUUUUAACUGCAGAACUUCUAAAAGUUAGUUUUCAAAUUAAGUACAAAGAAUUUAAACAAUCAAUUAUGUAAAGCUCUAAUGAAGGAGUAUGUCAGUAAAUUUACACCAAAAUAUUGCACUUUGCCCAAUCAAUUAAACUACAACGAGUAUCUAUGGAAUCAGUUCAUGAGGCCAAAUAUAUAAAAGCAAUAACAUACAUUACGAAAUAUUACAAGAAUGAUGAAGAUCUAGCACACAAUAUGAUACCCACAUACUGUCAAUGGACCCACUAACAAAAAGAACCCAGAAAGAAAUGACCACAUUAUCCUGUAUAUCUGACAUGCAUGUAGUCACAUAUUCUUUUGGCACUGUUUCUGUAAGCAGCAAGAACUCAACAAUCCAUAAAUAUGUGUCUGAUGGUUGACGUAUACAGACAACCAAGGAAACAAGUCUUUUUCAAACCAUAUCACAAUAAUCAUCAUCUUGGCUUAAAUAAUACCAAGAUCAAUAACAUAGAAAAUUAGCCAUCUCCUGCAAACCCUUAAGGUAACGACACAAACUGCAAACCCUAAAAAAGUCAAAGUGGUCUUAAACCUGCACAACAAUUAACAUGGUUGUAUUAGUAGCUUGACUAUCAUUGUAGCAACUCCGAAUGGUUCCUAAACUAAUAGUAUAUACCACAGACAUUGUUAGAGAAAUUGAAUCACCAAAUGCAUAUCUAUCGGGCAGCAGAAACUCUCUUUGCUUUCCCAACACCAAUACUGUAAUGUUUUUGUGACUUUUCCAUCUUAUUACCUACAGACCUAUGUACCUAAUCAAUAAUAAGUUAAACAGAAUGUCUUGCUGCUCACUUGAGUUGUGAUUUAUACUUCCAACUGCAGACUUUUUACUAUUUACUCUUGUAACAAGAAAUACUCAGCAGCUUCCUGUGGUCAUUGAAGAACAUUCAGGGUCACAUAGAUUCAAUAGACAUAAAAGGGCCACAUGGAAACAAUCUAUACAUAGACAGAAUCUAAGUCAUACUCAUUUCCGUAUCCUUCAUUCAAGGUUAACAUCAAUUUUUUUAACUUUUUCCCGCAAGGUUACCAUCAUUUAUAUGUGCAUUGCAGGACAACCAGAUAUUUCUAUAUGAAAAUCAUAAGUAGGAAGACUAAAUCACCAGACUCUUCGACUCCCCAAUUGCAGUAGAGAUCUAUUCAAUGAUCUAGCACGCAUAAUUAAUAGCUUCAGCUCAAAAUUAUUCAGGCAAACCAGAGUUAGAAAACAAGCAAUCAUUAAUUUUACUCUGAAAGAGCUCAUUCAUGAUUGAUAGCUUCAACUUAAAAUGAAUCAGACAAACCAGAGUUUUUAAAAAAAAAAAAAUCAGUAAUUUCCCUGUGAAAGAGCUCAUUCACAUAUUCUACAUGCAGUGUCUUGUAAUGCCUUCACUCUGCAAAAUCAUUUGAAUUACCUUGAAAGAUUACAAACUGUUGACAAUUUGAAAGAUCUCUGAAUUAUUAUUUUUCCUUAUCUUCUAGUUUUCAUAUUUUUACUAUUUCCUAGUUGCUAGAGAUAUUUUCUGUUUUUCUUUUUUUCUUUUUUUUUUUUGGCUAUCACUUUGUUGUAAAACCUCUAUCUAAUAGAGGCUAAUCUAUUCAAUAAAGAAUAACUGUGAAUUUUCUUGCAAAUAUGGCAUCGCAGCAAUGAAAAACUAAUUAUUACGUUACACAGUUAAAACAUCCAAUCCAUGGGCAACUCAUGAGAGUUCCGCCCAUACAAGUACCGUAGGAGAUAGACAUUCAGAAAUGUCCACUGAAUUGUCUACGCAGACAUUUCCAAAUAUCAAUUCAAGGGUGAAUGACACUCAUACUCUUCAAAUAACCCAGCGUAAGUUGAAAGAAACCAAUUCUCUAGAGUGGUCUCAAUCUAACAUUGAGAAUUGGUUAUCUAACAGGAGCAACAGCUGCUUCAAAGGAAGGAGAACCAGGCUUUCAGAGUUGGGAAUCUGCGAACACCAUGCUGAUGGCAUGGCUGGUUAAUUCCAUGAAUCUCAAGAUUGGCCAUAGGUAUUUGUUUUACAAGUCACUGAUGUAGGAUGUUAUUUUAUGGUUUAGAAUUUUAUCAUUUUAGGAUUUUUUAUUUUAAUUAGAGUAAAUUAUCAUAUGUCUUAGCCUAUUUUGGCAAAUUCGCGAUAUCUAGGGUUAUUAUAUAAAAGGACCCAACACCCUAAUUUUGUUAAUUCAGAAUUAUUCAAUAAACUUUAUUAUUCAGAAACCAUUACUUCUUCUAUCAAUCAACUUCAAACGUUUCCGCAUCGUCAAUCAUCCAAAAAAAAUUUAGGACACUGUUCAAACACUAUAUUCCAACCUAGGGAAUUCCUCUUAGAUUUUUGAGAUUCAUUCUGCCCUGAGAGAUAAGAAACAAGGCUCCUUGUCAAUGACAGAUUAUUAUAAUAAUCUUUGAGGGCUUUGGCAGGAGCUUGAUAUGUUCCAUGAUGUUGAUUGGCACUGCACUGAAUAUCAUAAAAAAAAAUACCUUGAGAAGGAGAGAGUGCUUGACCUUCUAAAUGGGUUGAACAAAGAACUUGAUGAGGUUUGCGGACGUGUCCUCGGAGUGAUACCUUUUCCAAGCAUAUUAGAGGCUUUUUUUGAUGUAAGAAGAGAAGAGAGUAAAAAACGAGUGGUUCUGGGGAAAUAAAGAUUUGAUUUCAGACAAUCAGUCUCAAAAUUCAGCAUUAGUUACCAAGAAAAAUGAAUCAGUCAUUGUAGAACGGGGUACCAAGAAGAGUGAUUGUGCUUAGUGUGAUCAUUGUCAACACCCAUACCAAACCAGGGAAACUUGCUGGAAUUGCAUGGUAAACCAGCAAAUUGGAAGCCACGGAACAAGAAGAUGGAAGAAGUUUCCAAGCUAACAUGGAGGAAAACCAGACUGUUGGUUUAGUUUUCACAAAAGAGCAACUAGAUCAACUUCAAGAACUUAUUUCUUAGUCCACUCGACUAAAUGUGUCCACUUCAGCACCUCAAUGUUCUAUAGCUCGGAAAGGUAAUUAUCACUCUGCACUAAAUACAAUGGUGACAUCAACUACUUCUUGGAUUAUUGAUUCUGGAGCAUCUGAUCAUAUGACUGGCUGCCAUGAAUUAUUUGUAGAGUAUAUUCAUUGUUCUGGAAACAUUAAGAUUCGAACUGUAACUAUAAUGCUUUCUAAUAUGACUUUAAAAUCUGUUUUACAUGUUCUAAAUUUAACAUGUAAUCCUGUGUAGUAAGUUAACCAAGAACUUGAAUUGUGUGGCUAAGUUCUAUUCUUCAUGUCAUGAGUUUCAGGAUUUUUCUUGAGGAGGAAGGAAGAUUGGCAGUGCUAAGGAGAGAAAUGGACUUUAAAAUUGAGGAUAAUAAAUCCGUGAAUAAACAAGCUCUUAGUACAAGUUGUGAAUCUGUUUCUUCCUAAGAAUAUCAUGUUGUGGCACAAAAGAUUAGGCCAUUCAAAUUUUCCUUUACUUGAAACAAUUGUUUCCUUGAUUGCUUAAGAGUACAAGUUGUGAAUCUGUUUCUUCCUAAGAAUAUCAUGUUGUGGUACAAAAGAUUAGGCAAUUCGAAUUUUCCUUUACUUGAAACAAUUGUUUCCUUCAUUGCUUAAGAAAGAAAAUGUCAGUUCUUUUCAAUGUGAAAUUUAUUAACUUGCAAAUCAUACUCGUGUUCCUUAUCCUCCUCAACCUUACAGUUCUUCUCAGCCUUUUUCCUUAAUCCACAGUGAUAUUUGGGGUCCUCCCAGAGUGCCAAAUAUUUCUGGAACAUAGUGGUUUAUAACAUUUAUUAAUGAUCGUUCACAAGUUUGUUGGGUUUAUUUUCUAAAAGGAAAAUCAGAAGUUCCACUUAUCUUCCAAAUAUUUCAUUUUAACUGAUUCAAAAGCAAUUCCAGAGUAAGAUACAAAUUCUUCAUACUGAUAAUGGUACUGAAUACUUUAAUUCCAUUGUAGGGAAAUACCUUGUGGACAAUGGGAUUUUUCUAUCAAAGUUCAUGGUUAAAGAGGUUACUAGAAGAAUUUAGGCUAUCAAGUGUUACACCACUGAAGCUGUUCUGUGAUAAUAGGUCUGCUAUUAGUAUUGCUCACAACCCAGUCACCAUGAUCGUACUAAACAUGUAGAAGUAGAGCGUCACUUUAUCAAGGAAAAAUUUGAGGAAGGAAUUAUUUGCAUGACAUAUCUCAACCAAGUUGCAGGUUGCUGACUUACUGACACAUUCAAGCUUUGAAGAUUUGACUGACAAGCUGGGAAUGAUCAAUAUUUUUUCACCAGCUUGAGAGGGAAUGUUGACAAUUUGAAAGUUUUUUAAAUUAUUUCUUUUUCCUAAUCUUCUAGAUUUUUCAUAUUUUUACCAUUUCCUAGUUUCUAGGGAUAUUUUCUGUUUUUUGUUGCCAUCAAUUAAUUGUAAAACUCUAUUAAAUAGAGGCUACUCUAUUGAAUAAAGAAUAAGUAACGAUUUUCUCUGCAAACACAAACCAUUGUCAAUUCCAAGGCGUUUAAUUUUCUUACCUGUUUGCCUCUGAGUAUGACCUUUGCACUUCUUGAAGGUGCAAAAGGACUCAAGACUCUCUUGGAAUAAUCAUCAACGAAAGUCAUUAUAUAACAAGAAACACCAUUAGAUUGGACAGAAAAGACCUCAACAAUCUGAAUCAAGUUACCCCUUGGUCCAAUGAAUUGUCUCUACACUUUUUUCCCAAACAACGUUUACAAAAUUCAAGUUCCUUAGUUUCUUAACUCAAAGCAUUUGUUCAUGUAAACCAACUGUCAAUAUAAGCAUCCCAAUACCUGAUAAAAGAGAAACUACUGCCACAACAAUAACUAAGCUACCUCAAAAUUAAUGAAGGCCAUUACAGAACUUUCUUUCCAUGACAGCAAGAAUAUCCUUAUUUCAUAUUCAACUCUUUCAACUCCACAUUAAAUACAUCAUGGCAGUCAGAAAUAUUAAAAGAUACAGGGCUUUGCUUCAAAUCUGAUACAUAUUAAACACCAACGAAAUUCCUGUCAAUACCAUCGAAGUGCCAACAGGACAUAUUAUAAUCUAAUCUGUACACAUCACAAUCACUGAACUGACAAGUAAUACACCAGUAGUCACAUACAAUCAAUUUUCCAACACCUACCUUGAAAUAACACAGCCAUUUACCCUUCUUACACUGACAUUUAAAUCAACACUUGCCUCAAACUUUUACCUAAGUCCUUUCCUCUUGUUAUACCUUUAAUAGUUUGAUUUUCAGUUCGUUUGUUUCUACAUUUUUUUAUAAUGGAAUAUGCCUCAACAUCAUCCUUAUAACUACUAUCUAGCCCAUACAACAUAUUGUAAACAAAAUGUAAAGAAGAUAUAAGGACCAAUCCUCAUCAAAUUUCAUACCAUUUCUAAAAUCCAAAAUAAUAUUGCUAAAAUUCAUCGAGAUGGUCAUCUAAUAAAUAUAUACUUUAUAUCAUACAAACUCCUAGCUUUUCCGGUUUUUCUACCUUUCUUUCCCUCUUUUGGACUUACUUCAAUGAUAUCAAGGGCCAACUUUCAAUCCUGAACCAGACUAUUUGACAAGAACACAUUAUAGCCAUUGUUUCCGAAACCCAAUUUCAAUGAAAAUUCCUAGACACUAUGCUUAGUACCCUCCGGACUCCAACCACAUUUUCCGCACCUUGUCAUACAAUGUCGUCUUAUUCUUGUAACGCAGCGUCAUUUCCGCAAACCUAAUCAGUAACUGAAUAGGCUAAUUCCAAAACACACCCUAAGUCACAUAGAGUAUUUCUCAUAGAAGACACAUUACAAAAAAAUUUUAAAAAAUAUGAAGUAGCAAACCUUCUUUCUGAAAGGAACUCUUUCGUCAAAAAGUCUGGCUGACAAUAUGCCAAGUGAAUGAUUAUGUACUACUUUCCCACGCUCAGAACUCGAACAUGAUCUUACGUCACUUGACGUCGAUGCGUCAUCACGCGCCGCGUUUUGUCCUCCUGAAAGAAUAAAACGAAAGUCCGAUUUUAAUUUUCUUUCAUUUUUUGGUAAACAGUCAAAAAUUACAAUAAUAUAAAAAUGAAAUAAGAGGAAAACCUGAAGAAUCACCGCGGCCAUUGCAAUUUUCGCUCUCAAUUUCGGCGUCAUAAUCAACAGACACGUCUUCCGAAGCGUCGGAACAUCGACGUCCAUGAUUUUCCAUCGAUAUCCUAGGAGAUGGUGUCGAUUGCAGCAGUGUUACUGUUUCUGUAGAAGAAAGAAUUCGGAGUCUUUAAACGGAAAUGGAAUAUGGCUAAGUUGCAUGCACUUGCUUAAACAGAUACAAUCAUACAAUGCUUCGGCCAAUGCGAAAGGUAUCAAUUCUGUGAUCACAAUUGAUUUCUUUUCCUUUUCUUUUUCUUUUUCCUUUCCCUUUUCUUUACUCAGAAAACUGAGGUAAAAGUAUUUUGAAUAAUAUUCAUGGAGGGGAACAGAGGUGGUGGCACUUGUACUUGGCGGGCGAGAUUUGUUCAGCAAACGCGUCUGUUUAUAGAAAAGUGUGGCAGGGUGGUGUCAUUUCCACCGAUCCGUUUUAUUAACCAACCUCACUUUUAAGUUUUAAUAUAUAAUUACAAUAUAUUCAUAUAAUUAAAAAAAAAAAAGCAAAUAAAAAAACUCAGUGAAUUAAUCAAUAUCUUUAAUUAUUUUUAUGAUUUAUUUUUUUAUUAUAUUUAACUAUUAAGAUUACUUUUAAUAUAAGUUUAAAUUAAAUAUUUUAUUCUUAUGAUAAAAACACUAAAAAUUUAUUUUAUUUUUUAAAAUUUUUAUUAAAAAAUUCAUUAUUUCUAAAUUACAUGUCAAAAUUACUUUAAUUGUAUGAUUAUUAAUCUUUAAUUAAAUUAACACAAUUUCUUUAUGGUACAAUGUUGAUACCAAAAUUUCAAUCGUAUGAUCACGGAUAUUUGGUCAACAUUCACAAAUAAAUUUGCCAUGAGGAAACGCAUUAAGAUACAUGCAAAGAUUUAUUACAACUCAAAUUACACAUUAGAUUAAGAAUAUAAAUAAUUACUAAGAGAAAUAUAUAAAGAGAAAAAGGAAAGAGAUGAUUGGAAUCUUCACUGGACGUCAAGUCCACCUCAAAAUUAAAUGUUAGUGCCUACAAAACAAAUACAAUUAGUCAUCGUUGAUGGAGUUCACGAGAAAAAAUCCUUCGACUCUCGAGUACGAAAAAUGAGAAGAUUUUUCCAAGAGAAAGAGAGAAAAUUAUGAACCCUUUAUCUUCAACUUCUCCUUUAUUUAUAGGCCAACAAAGAGAGAAGAGUCUUACUCACUUAGUACAUGUAUCAUCUAGGCAUUAGUCUCAUCUUCGUCAUUUACACAUCAUCUAGGCAUUGGAUGUUUGACAACAUAGAUAACCAAGCUGACUUGCUCUUUACCAGCCCAUCAACUAGUCACUUUACUCUCAUUACCAGACCUCAAUCCCCCCAACUAACGCUGCACCCUAUUUGCUAAAUAAUAACUCUAGGUCUAGCAACUUACAUCUAGCUUUGGGACUUACAUUAAUUGAUAGGUAAUUAAUAUGAGCGAUGGUUGAUGUUAUCUUAUUGAGAUAUUUUCCUAGGCACAUGUUGAGAUGUCAUCUCAUAUUUAUAUUGAAGUGGUGCCAAGAUGACAAUUUCGUGGCAACGAGGCAUCACCAACAAGGCACAUUGCUCUUAGAGUAUUUUUAGAGUGCAUUUGGCACACUUUAUUAUAUUAUGUUGUAUUAUAUUAAUAUUGUAUUAUAAUAAUAUUGUAUAAUGUUUGGUGCUAUACUGUACUGUAUUAUUUUUUUGUUAUUAAUUUAAAUUAAAUAUUAGGGAUAUUAUCAUUUUCCCACCAAAAUUAUUCUGACACAUCAUGUCAGUACCACAGUUUGGUAAAAAUAUCAUUUUACCUCCAAACAUUUAAAUUGUUAGCAUUUUCUCACUAUUCCGUUAAAACUCAAUUAAUAUUUAACGAAAAAUGCAUAAAAAGUCAAUUUUACCCCUAGAGCAUAAAAGACGAUUUUACCCUUUCAAAAAGGAAGAACAACAAAAGAUAAUUUAAUUACAAAAUUACCCCCAAAAAGACGACAAGACGAUUUUACCCUUUAAAAAGAAAGAACAACAAAAGACGAUUUAAUUACAAAAUUACCCCAAAAGACGACACUGCUACUAGAGUGAGACAGAUAUGGGUCAGUGACAAUGAGUGAGAGAGGGCGGAGAUGGAACAAGAAACAAGAGAGAGGGGGGUUGAUUUCGAUUUAUAGGGCUUCCAUGUCCAAAUUGCUUGUUUUUUUACAAUUGCAAAACGCAACGUUUUGGUUUCUCGUGAGAUGUCCAAAAUGCCCUUAUGAUGUUAGCAUAAUUUUUAUUUAGUUGACGGAAUGGUGGGAAAAUGCUAAUAGUUUAAACGUUUGGUGGUAAAAUGAUGUUUUUACCAAACCGUGGCACUGACAUGAUGUGUCAGAAUAACUUUGGUAGGAAACUGAUAAUAUCUCUAAAUAUUAUAUUAUAUUAUAUUAAUAUAUUUAAAUUGUAUCAAUAUUUUAUAUUAUUAUUAAUUUUAAAUUAAUAUUAUUCAAAUUUAAAUAUUUGGCCGUACAGCAGUCAAAUUUAAAUAUUUAUUAUUAGUUAUAAUAAAUUAUAAAUUUAUGAAUAAAUUAUAAUGUAAAAAUAUUAAUUUAUUAAUAAAUUAAUAUUAUUUAAAUUUAUUGAACACUAGGGUUUCAAAUAUACAAACUGAUAUUUAUAGUAUCUUUGAAAUUCUUAUUGAUAUAAAUAGAGGUACCGUUAAAAUUGAAUCAUUUAUUGAUUUAUUAUAUGUUAAAGUCGAUGUCCAAUAGACAUAAUUCACUUGACAUAUUAAAUUCUUUGUCCACAGCAAGUUCCAAGAAAAUAAUAAACCUAAUAAGAAUCUAAAUAAACGUGCUUCACUAUAAUUAGUAACCAAGAUAUUAACUUAGUUACAAGACUCAUAUAUCUCUAUCUUAGGAGCAUCUACAUAGCAUUUUCCCAUGGAUUAGUCUUCUUCCCAAUAUUAAUUUUGCCUCAAUAAGUAGUCUUUGUGAUGUUGCUUCUCUUUUUAUUGGAAAAAAAAUCCUUCAAGCAUGUCUUCUAAGAUCUGGUUCAGCUUCUCUUCACUUAUUCUUUCCCUAGCAAGCAGCAAUCUUAAGGCUUCUCUUCAUCUGUAAAAUUAAUGUUGAAUACAACUUCACUAUUGCAGCAACAAUAGCAACACCAGCUUCAGCAUCUUCAGCAAUCACGCCAUCUUCAUGCUCUUCAGCAACAUCGCAAUCUUCAAGAUUUUCAAGAGUCUAAGGCUCUAUCAUCAAAAUUCAAAACUACUUUCAAUUUAAUUUGAAGGAUAAAGGAAAUUUAAAUAGAGUGGAAAACAAUGCAUCUAAAUGAGUGUGAUAGGAAUUUCAAAUGCACUCCACUCUCACUGUAGCUUCUCCUAAUCCAUUCAUUCAUUUCUUCCAUUUAAGGAGGCCAUCACCAUUCACCCCUCAAUGUUAUUGCAUGCAAUUACCAAAAUGCGUUCUGAGCACCCAAUGAGAAGAUGUGAGACAUGAAUAAGUAUGCAUGAAUUCACAAGAAGGCAUAUAAAAUCUUAAGUAAAGCACCAUAUUUCAAACUUCUCAUAUCAUUCCUAGGACAAAAUCGGGCCAAAAAAUACAACUUUGCAAUCAUGAGUAACACUAGCGUUAAUUGUAAUUAACCUAAUUCAAUAAAUUGUCACAACCUAAUUCAAUAAAUUGUCAUCGUUACUUCAGGUUCCACAGUAUUCAAACUCUUAAUACAGCAACCCAGCAUGAAAUAGGAACUAUGCAGUUAACAAGAUAUAUUAACACAUAAGCCAUACCGAGCAUUUUAAGUUACUUCAUGUUAAAGUUAUUUAAUCAUACUUCAGAUACCCAUAUUAUCAAAACAUGCCCCCUUCAAUUAAGGGUCUGUAACCUAUGCCUAGGUAAUAUAUAUUUUUUAAGGAAUAUAACCAGAAUUUGCUCCUUUAACUUCCACAAGCCGUGCACUCUUCAUGGUUUGUUGGAGAGCAAACCAUCUGUGCCAUCUUGGUUUCAUCAUCGGCCACCAACUCAGGCUUCCCCUGAAUCAACAAGAGUUGGAAAAGUGAAACAUUGGGAAACAGAAAAAAAAAAGUAACUGACUGUUCUAGCAGCAAUCAUCUUAUUCCUGCAAGAAUCAGCCAUGAUUUUCUUUUUUUUUUUGAAAAAUUCGAAUCACCAAUAUUUUUACAUUCUUCUCCAAAUUCUUAACAUUCACCUCAUUCCCACAACAAUUGCUAGAAAACAGAACACAAACAUUCAAACCAACAAACAAGCCAACAAAUUAAAAAAAAAUGCCCAUCUCCUAAAUUCAUCAGCGCGCGCGCGCCCGUCGCUGGGCAGCAGCGCGCUGAAAUACUAACUAGGCAACCCAAGAGGGGGGUGAAUUGGGAUUUUAAAAAUUAUCCUAGGCAAACCACACAACAAUUUAAUCUAAUGCCUUAAUAAAUUCGAAAACAAUAAAUUCAAUAAAAGUACAAUAAUAAAUGAGUAAGGGAAGAGAAAGCAAACUCAAGGAUUUUUACGUGGUUCGGCAAUCCCCGCCUACGUCCACGCCUCCAAGCACACCGGGCUUGAGGAUUUCACUAAGCUAGCCUCCCAAGGCUUCAAACGCUUACAAUUGACUUCCAAGGUGUCAAUGGACCUUUACAACAAGAGAUUAUCCCCAAUCUCUUAACCCAAGUGUAUCCCAACACUUACAAUCUUUUAACUUGAUUUUACAAAAAAGAUUACAAAUGAAUCUCUCUCACACAAUAUGUUUGAUCACAAGUGAAAGCUCAAUGUGUGAAUGAAUGAGAUGAAUACAAAGAUUUAAAGCUCAAUGAAAGUUGUAUUCUCUAUAUUUUGCUCAAUGAUGAUCGUUGGAAUUCCUUCUUGUUUGAAUUGGAUUGAGCUUAUUUAUAGUUGGAGCUGAAAACUAGCCGUUAUUGACUUUCUACACACUGUCGGAUCGCCGUUAGCUAGAUGUCGGAUCGCCGUUUGACUGGUCAAUAUGACCGUUGGGCUGAUUUUUCAAAUUGUCGGAUCGCCGUUAGACCUGCGAAACAAAUUUGGUUUAACCGUUCUUACUAAACGGUUCAAGGUUAGCAAUCUGGAAAUAAUCGGUUAACCGUUUUCAGUAAACGGUUCACCGUUAGUUUCCAGAAUCAUCAUUUUAACAAUACUUUGCAGAACAUGCUUUCUGGAAAUUAUCGGUUAGCCCUUUUUAAAUAAACGGUUAGCCGUUUGCUACAGUGAUUGCUACAGUAACCUGUACAGUGCACUAUUUUCUGAAAUUACAGUUUGACCCUAAAAUUUUACUAAACUGUACUAUAACCCAAAACGUUAUGAAACUUUACAAAUAGGUCCAAUUUCAGAAUUUCUAAGUAAUACUUUGUUAAUCCCAAAACUUUCUAAAAUUAUGUUAUAGCCCAAAAUGCUAUGACACUUUUCAAAUAAGUCCUUCACCAAAAUUUCAAGCAAUACUUGUUUAUUUCAAAGUUUUCAAAAUGUUUCAAUUAAACCAUAAACUUUGAAAAACAACCAAUUUCAUAAAAUCAUUUUUCCAUUAAAUAUGAAACAUUUAUAAUGUGAAAAUAAUGAUUUAUUUAAAAAGAAUAAAAACAAUCAAUUUCAUAAAAUCAUUUUUCCAUUAAAUACAAAACAUUUAUAAUGUGAAAAUAAUGAUUUAUUUAAAAAGAAUAAAAACAAUCAAUUUCAUAAAAUCAUUUUUCCAUUAAAUACAAAACAUUUAUAAUGUGAAAAUAAUGAUUUAUUUAAAAAGAAUAAAAACAAUCAAUUUCAUAAAAUCAUUUUUCCAUUAAAUACAAAACAUUUAUAAUGUGAAAAUAAUGAUUUAUUUAAAAAGAAUAAAAACAAUCAAUUUCAUAAAAUCAUUUUUCCAUUAAAUACAAAACAUUUAUAAUGUGAAAAUAAUGAUUUAUUUAAAAAGAAUAAAAACAAUCAAUUUCAUAAAAUCAUUUUUCCAUUAAAUACAAAACAUUUAUAAUGUGAAAAUAAUGAUUUAUUUAAAAAGAAUAUUAAAUAAUUUGAGCUUAAAAGAUUAAUCAUUCUUAAUCUUGUUUGUUAUCAUCAAAAUCAAUAUUAUGGAAACAUAUAUGUUAACACAUUAAGUAAGCAAAAUAGUGCAUUUUUUCAACUUGUUAGUGGAAGCUAAAUUUUUGUAUUCAUAAAUUUAGGCUAUUCCUUACUUUUCUGGAUGUUAAAGGAUCAACUUCAAUUGUUGAUAGAUGGCUACAGUUGGCUCUUGGCUGUGGAAGAUGGGGUUAGAGAGUUAGAUUUUGAGAACAUAACAGAUGAAAACAAAGUGUAACUUUGAAAAACAACCAAUUUCAUAAAAUCAUUUUUCCAUUAAAUAUGAAACAUUUAUAAUGUGAAAAUAAUGAUUUAUUUAAAAAGAAUAAAAACAAUUAGUUUCGUAAAAUCAUUUUUCCAUUAAAUACAAAACAUUUAUAAUGUGAAAAUAAUGAUUUAUUUAAAAAGAAUAUUAAAUAAUUUGAGCUUAAAAUCAUUUUUCCAUUAAAUAUAAAACGUUUAUAAUGUGAAAAUAAUGAUUUAUUUAAAAAGAAUAAAAACAAUCAAUUUCAUAAAAUCAUUUUUCCAUUAAAUAUGAAACAUUUAUAAUGUGAAAAUAAUGAUUUAUUUAAAAAGAAUAUUAAAUAAUUUGAGCUUAAAAGAUUAAUCAUUCUUAAUCUUGUUUGUUAUCAUCAAAAUCAAUAUUAUGGAAACAUAUAUGUUAACAAUCUCCCCCAUAAUAAUAAUAAUAAUAAUAAUAAUAAUAAUAAUAAUAAUAAUAAUAAUAAUAAUAAUAAUAAUAAUAAUAAUAAUAAUAAUAUUCAAAAAGGAGAGGAAAUGAAGCCUAUAGAUAGAAGGCUUCAUUUCCCCUCUCGGCAUCUAAUUCUCUUCUUCUUCAAUUCUAUUUUCAGAGGAGAGAAAGCCAAGUGAGAAUUGAGUGAUUGAUGAGUGAGAGAUUGAGUGUAUUGGAGUUUUGGGCAGUGAGUUAAAAAUAUUAUAAUACUUGUAAUUCUCAUUUUAGUAGUAAAGGUUUAUCCUUCUAUCUUUGUCCGUGGACGUAAGUGAAAAGUUAAACCACAUAAAUUUUGGUGUCCCUAUGUGAUUCCGUUGUCUUAAUAUUUCUCAAUUUCAGUUUAGUUGUGUGUCUACUUCACCCAAAUUUCCUAACAAAAAAAUUGUCACAAUAGGAGUUGAAACCUUCAAAUGAUGCAAAAGUCGAACCACAUAAGUUUUGGUGUCCCUAUGUGAUUAUGUUGUCUCAAUAUUUCUCAAUUUUCGUUUAUUUGUGUGUCUACUUCAUCCAUCAAUUUCCUAACAAAAAAUUGUCAUAAUAGGAGUCGAAACCUUCAAAUGAUGCAAAUUACACUCUUAAUCUUAACAAAUAUAUGCAAGCUAGCCUCAAAAUUUGACCAGGCAGAUGUGAUUUGGUUUUAUUUUUUAAAAGAAAAAUAGAAAUUACACCUUUCACUACUCAUGAAAAGAACAAAUAUAUAACAUCAACAUCUAGCCAUAUAAUAGACUCUAAUUUCCUUAAGACUAAUUUGGCCAAGAGUUUGUUAAUAUAUUACAACUUCUAGAUGCAUGUUGAGCUUUGAAAUUCUGAAAACUCUUCUUAGUCUCCAAAAUAUCGAAAAUCACCCAAUAAAUUUCUAUUAAAGUACCCCUCUUGUUAUUGAUUAGCUCUAUCACUCCCUUCGAGUCAAACUCUGAUUACAAAAACUGCUCCAGCUCUAAGAGCUUCCCGCAUUCCCCACAAAAUAGCUUUAUUAGCUUUUGCCAUCUCCACGUCCUAGGACUCUUCAUUAUGUGUUACAGCAGCAGCAAUGACUUCUUUGUUAAGAAAAGGUAUACAAGAUAUACUUUUUUUAAAUUCCAAAAUUUUGAAAUAAUUUUUCUGUAACUGAUCGAGGUGUAUAUCUUGACCGAAUAACUCUAAAUAAUUAGUCACCAAUGAAUGAUAAAGUCUUGAAUUUUAAACUAUUUGCAACGCUUAUUUCUUAAAUUAAAAUUGUAUUUACUGAUUGCUUAGAGUUGACUGUCGGCAUAAAUGAUUGAAUUUUGGCAUGUUUUCGACCACUUUGGUCCUUGUCAUCAUAUGACAAACUAAAUUCAAUGAGUUGCCAAGUCUUCCUUCACUAAUUUUUAUGGGUAUUUUGACCUCCGAUGAUGUUAACAAAUUUUCACUUGGCUCUUCAUAAUUAUUGACCUCGUGACUAAUACUAAAGACUCUAAUAUUUGAUUCACAAUUAAUGUAAUAUUCAUCUAUUAGAUAAUAAAAUAAUAAUUUUAUAAGUUAUAAAAUAAUAAUUUUAUAAGUUAUAAAAUUCACCAUCCAAUAAAAUUGCGUUGCAUAGUAUUAAAAUUUGGGAACUGGCAUUUGACUCAAAUGGAUUGUGUGCCCGAAACAAUAUUAAUCCCAUGUGAGUUCAUAGUGCCACAGUGGCCUUCCACAUGAGUACUUAACAUGGUUGGCUAUAAAUCGCUCUUUUAAAACUUACUAAAUUUAAAUCAGUGUUCACGAGAACUUGGGUGAUGAGUUAAAUUAUACACUACUGGAAAAGUGUCACUAUCAUCUAGAGCUGACAAAAUGGGUUGUCAAGUCGUGUUCGUGUCGUGUCAGUUUCGUAUCGUGUAAAAUUUACAUUGAUCCAAACCCGAUACAGAAAAUAAACGGGUUACCCAAUAACCUAUUUAAUAUCUAUAUAUUUAACAAAUGUUACACACACACUCACAUAUGCACACACCCCCUAAAAUAUUACACAUUUAUACUAUUAAAGCUUUUAAUUAUAUAUAUGUAAAUAAUACUAUAUAUCAAUAUCAUAAAGGAUACAUGUAUACUAAUAUUUUACAUACACUAUUAAAGUUCUAAAUCUAUAUAAAAUUUUAUAAAUAAAACAUUGUGUAUAUAUCUACCUUUCUAAAAAAAAAUAAAAAGAGAGAAUCAUGUCCAAUAUUUGAGUUUUAAUGAAAAGAACUUAGAAAUUAAUUAAAAAAAAAUAUAAUCGUGUCAUUUUUUGGGUAAAUGGGUCAAGAACUUUAACCCUAACCCAACACAUAAAAAAAUCGUGUCAACCCGGACCCGACUCAUUUAAUAAUCGUGUCCAAUUUGACGACUUAAUUUUCAUUUAUUCGUGUCAUGUUCAUGUCAGAUAAUCGAAUCAUGUCAAAUUUUGCCAGCUCUACUAUCAUCAACGAAGAAAGCAAACACCAAAAGGGUCCUUCAAACUUCAACACAUAAGAAGUUGCUACUAAUCCUGGCUCCAAUACCAAUUAGACUUUGUCAAUAGUAUGAAAUAAUAUGCUUGCAAAUAUGCUAAGAACAAAUGCUGCUCAGGCUUGUGCCACAAGAAUCUAACCACAGUUCAACCAUAGAGUAUACUUAAUAGCAGUAUUCAAUAAAUAGGUUUAAGUGAGUUAUGCCAUUCUUAAAACGCUAAUAAUCUGGUCUAAUUCUUGAAAUCUCAAGAUAUGAAUGUAAACAAAUAGCAUAAUUUAAGUGAGUAAACAAUAGAUACUUAGAAGGAAUGAUCCUUGACCAAGUUUCAAGCUCCCAGAUCACUGCUUUUUAAAAACCAAGAUCCCCUAUUUGCAUGGACUGAUUCUCAAUCCUAAAAAUUACACGUUAAAUCAAAAUUAUCAUGACAUUAUGUCAUCAAUAAUUCCAUACUUUGGAGCACAUUAUACCCUUAAAUUAUUUAAAGGUGAUUGGACUGUAGACACAUUAACAACACUGAUCACAAUAAAGGAUAAUAUAUUCUUUAAUAGUAUGUAAAUUGGAACAAAAGAAUUAAUGAUUUUUUUUUUAAAUUUAAGAGAACUACCCUUACUUGAUUAACCUUUGAAUGGUAAGAGUCCUGUUCAAUUUGGAGGAAUUCUAUCCUGUUUCUGCACCAAUUCAACUUGGCACCAAGGUAAGAGAUUAACUUCACAUGCUAUGCAAAACUCGAUGAAACAAUGAAAAAUCCAAAUGAUUUCUGAUUACCGUUAAUGGGCAUCUUAUAAAUAACAGAACCAUUCAUGGCUCAUUCAAAAUUUAUGCAGAGGAACUACUUGAAAAAUGCUAGGUGGGAUAAAAAUGUCAGAUUUUCGAUAAAGCAAAAUAAAUAUCUUGACAUUAGAAACCAUCAAACAAUUGCAAGCCAGUUCAAUGAAAUGGGCAAUCUCCAAAAUAACUUAUAAUGCCAGAUGUGAAAUGGCAAAACCUUUGUUACCAACUCACCCUUCCCCUAAUAAAAUACCAUUCCUACCUGAAUUGAACACUGUAUUCUGUCAUUGAAAUUUACCGAUUAUAGAAAAUUCUGCUGUACGGCCAAGGCGGAUGUACGGUACAGCUUAGGAUAUAAUCUUGUCAUCUCCUGCCUAAAAUAUCUAGAAGGCUUACUGAAACAGUUACUAAUGCAUUUUAACCAUCAAUUAACUGCAGCCAGAAAACAAACUAAUCAGGUUCAGCCAUGCAUGCAACAAACAAGAAUGCAAUAGCCCAGCUUUACAACCAAUUGAAAGAAGCUACGCGAGCAUCAAUCAAUGUAGCGAGCAGAAAAUCAGAUGAAUAUCAGUCACCAUGCAUAACUGAUCAAAUUGUAUUCUUUGUGUAAUAUAUCUGCAUUAGUAGCCAACUUCCAAUCCUAUUAGUAGGCUGCUAGUUCCCCAUUUAUUGUAGGCUAUUCUAGUAAUGAUAUUCUAUUCCCAUUAAUUACUAGAACCAGCUAGAACCGUAUGUGUUAAAUUAACUAAAGUGUACAGUGUGAAAGAGUAUAUAGUAGACCAAAACUAAAUCAUAUGACCAGAUACUGGGAAGGUUUUGCAAGACUUCUAUCAUUACCCCUAAAAAUUCCUCUAGGCAUAGCCAAUAAUGUGGGAAGCAACUAUAUCCUUUAAACUACAAGCUUACAUUAAUUUAAAUAUAAAUGAAAUUAUGCAACACACUGCACUUCAGCAUUUAGCAGUUUGGCUAAGAUCCUAAGAGAUUAAAUAUUGCUUUCGUAUCCAACAAGAAAAGAUGAUGAGUUAGUAAGUAAAAAAUGACAUUCUGCAACUGCUUAUCAUAAUAUAUGCCUAUCAUAAAUCUUGUGAAAAUGUAGGAACAGUACCGUUUCAGCACUGUUGCAGUAACACUGAACAUGAGAUCCUCAAUCAGUUGCCUGAGCUGUGGCUGUCUAGCAAGGUAUGCAUGCACACUCAACCUGGCAAAAUAAGUAAAUCCUUGGUACAGCAAACUGAGCUAAUGAAAACCAGGUGAGAUUGCAUUUAAGAUGCACACAACCUUGCACAGUGCAUGCUCUACCAUUACAACUUGGCAGGAACAUGAUUAAUUGCACUUUCAUCUGGCUCAGAUGAGCCUAAGAAAUUGAAAUCCAUAGAAAUAACCCAAAUAGUGAAAAAGAAAUAAUAAACUUCAAUAAAUCACUAGGGAGAUUAUUUUGCUAAAUAGGGAAAUGGACGACUAGCCUGUUUCUAUAAGGAACUCAUAAAACUGUAACAUAUCUACCCUCUUAAUCAUUGUAGUUCACUGCAUACAACAAAAAAAAAAAAAAAAAAACUAAAUAAAAGGUCCUGACUGUAGAUGAAAGUAUUUUAGCUAUGCAUUUGUAACAAAGCAGAAACACUAAAAACAAGCUGCCAGUGAAUGCAAAAGAAAAACAAGAAAACAACAUGCCAAAACCUUAUUUUGCAACUAAAUACUGAAAACAUACAUUAAGAUUACAAACACAGCAUUGAUUCUAUGAAAAUUUCAGAGUAACAAUGGAUUUAAGGAAAAGUGAAAAAAGGGAAAAAAUAAAAUCUGACAAACUAAUUCAAGGUCAAAUUGGCAUUGUGCAUUUCUUUUGAGAAUGUCCUAACAAAUGGCAACGACCACAUUGAACAAUUCUCUUAGGGCGCUUAAAAUUUUCUACACGAAGAACCUUCUUUUUUGGCCUUCCAGGUGGCCGGCGAGUUUUGGGUGGGCGUAUUGUGAUAUCAAGCUUGGCAACUCCACCCUCAGCCCCCUCACCGGGUUCCUUCCAUCGGCUUUUAUCUGGGAUAGCAUUUAUCAUCUGUGAAUAAGUCUCUCGAUAACUAGCAACAGUGAAACAAGGCUCAGCAAAAAGAUGGACAUUUUGCCCACAAGAAAGAAGUGCAGCAGCGGCAUGAGCACAAGGUAAACCAUAAAGUUGCCAACGGCGACACGAGCACACACGACUUCGUAUAUCCACAAUAUUUGUUCGCUCAGUUGACACAAUCUCAAAUUCAAUUUCAUUUGCACGAAGUACUUGAUAGCAUCGUGCAUCAGCAAUUGCUUCCAUAAUUUGCCUCUCUGUAGAUGGUACUAGAAUUGAAGUCCACCGCAUGCCCAUCUCCCGACGAUCGUUAAACCAAGAUGUUAAUUGAUGCCGAAUAUACUCCAUCAUCUGCACAACAGGGAGCUCGUGACAUUCUAAAGCCCAAUUAUAUAACAACUCUGUCACACCAAGCGUAAAAUGGCCAUAUCGCACCCCUUCAAAAUAUGCUAUAGCCCACAAUUGGGGAGGGAACUGUUGAAACCAUGGUAUGACAUCCUGUGAUAUCUCUACCAUCUCAGAGAUUUUAGCUUCAAAUUCAACUGUCGUAAGUGCAUAAACAGCAUUCCAGAAGAUAUUAACCAACUUCGUGUUUUUAAAUGUGUCCCGAAAAUUUUCACUAACAUAGCGCAGACAAAAACAAUGAAAAGCACUUGGAAAAUGUGUUUCGACUGCCUCUACAAUGCCUCUUUGUCUUUCUGACAGUAUUGUUAGUCUAGGCAUGUUGUCAGUAUUAACCCCCAGAAGCUUCCGCAAUUCUGACAUGAACCACAUCCAAUUUUCAUCACUUUCCACAUCAACAAUAGCAAUAGCCAAAGGAAACAAUGCAUCCUCGGCAUCAACACCUGCAGCACAAAGUAGUGUACCCAAGUAUUUCCCUUUCAGAUUUGCUUUGUCUAACUCCAAAAGUGGCCUACAAGCAUUUAUAAACCCAUAUAUUGAUGCACGAUAAGAAAUAAAGAGCCGAUGGAAACAAUUUUCUUGUCCAGUUGCAAAAACGGAUGCAAUGCUUCCUGGAUUUGUUUUCCUUAUUUGCUCACAGUAUGCAGGAAGAAGUCGAUAACCUUCUUCAUAAGUCCCAUGAAGUGCAGCCAUGCUGCGCUCCUUUCCACGCCAAGCUUGCAUAUAAGACACGGCAACUCCAUGCUGAUCACGGAUAUCUUGUAGGAUUUCCUUUGGUUUAUACUGUGGAUUAUCCCUUAUGCGAGCUUCUACUGAUCUAGCAACCCAACCCACGGAUGCUUGCUGAUGAUGGAGGUUCUGAACUCCUUCACAGGUAUGCUCUCCAUGCAAGGUUCUAAUGGAAAAAGUUGGAACUCCAGGACAUUUUGCUACAUGAACACGCCAUGGACAACCUUCUUUGGAGCACUUGGCUAUAAACCGGCUGCGAUCUGAUUUCACUAUCCGUAGAUCAAAAUGUAGUGCUAUAGCAAUAUCUUUCAAAGUUCUUCUGCAAGUUUCAACAUCAGGAAAUUCUUGCCCAAUAGAUAAUGUAGGUUCUGCCAAACUAAGCGAAUCAUUUGGUACAGUCAAAGCAUGGUCAGCCAUGAAUUCAGAAAACAAAAGAGCACCAAUGCCAGGUAUUUCAAAGGGUUCCCCUCAUGCUGAAUACAGAUUGACGUUUGUCGAUUGUAGAAAAACCACCACAUAAACUCUAAUCUGCAAUAGAAAACAAACAGAAAAGGAAAUGAACUUAAAAUACAGAAAAGUAUGUAGUAAUAGACAAUAUUAAAAUGGAAAUAAAUCUCUUGCUGGCUAACAUUAAAUCACCCAGACGAUUUAUUAAAGCAACUUGAGAGAAGGGGUAAAAUCAUGAAAGAAAUUGAAACCCCAAGACUUUAUAUUUAAAUAAUAAAUUUGAGUAUUCUACCCCUGGCCACCCCCAUAAAAAAAUAGAUCUCCAAAAAUAUUUACUUCGUAAAAUUAUACAUCUAAAUAAGCUACAAGAAGCAGACAGCACAGAAAUUUGUUCAAUUACCACUUGACCUGAAAGGCAAACGUUAAUAUUUAAGCUUAUAAAUACAGUCCCGACAACAAUAUAUAGCUCUAGCAUAUCGUGUCAUGUACAAGGCAUAUGGAUCAAACACAAAUACAAACACAACCACACCCACAAAGAUUAAAACUAUCACAAAAACAAUGAGCAGAUUCAAACAGAAGACCACUUGGCCAACUUUACUGGGAUACCAUGUUAAAUUACUCUUGACCUAGAAGCAAAAGCUUAUUGGUAAGGGACCAAAACUAGUAUUAAAGCUCUAAUAAAUUCAAAACAGAAAACAAAUCAUUAACAUUAUUAAAUAUAAAUAAAUACUUCCAAUAUGGGACUUCUUUUUUUUCCCUGAUAAGAAACAAGAAAAUAUAUUAAAUAUGGAGCAGUAGUCCACAAAAGAAAGACUAAAAGAAGAAAAGAACCGAAAACAGAAACAUCAUUUGACAAAAGUAAAGCUUUAGUUUUUUCUUGUAAAAGACUUAAAAGAAUUAAGCAAUGGUUUUUUCAUUGUCGUGAAAGAGCUGAAUAAUGAAGAUAGGUCUGAUCAGGUCCAAAACAGAAACAUUGUUUGACAACAGCCUCCUACUUUUGAUAAAUGAAAAAACAAAGAAAUCCACUAAAACACAGUACAAAUAAACGCCAUAAGACCUGAAAAAAUGUAUUUCCUAAAGAAGAUCAUAGCCUUUCUCUUCAGCAUCUUCGAAAAUGCUUCUAUUCCCCUCCAACCAAUCACCCCAAAAACUGACAUCAUACAGCAAUUCCAUAAAACCUUUGCUUUAUUACCUCCUCUAAAAGCAUUAAAACAUUCUAUGCACAUCAAAUAAAAGUAGCAUUUGUUCUUCAUCUUUAAUACAAAUUCAGUUUCUUAUCAAAGGAAAAAAAGUUGCAUUUGUAAUUUCGAGUAAAAUAAGCCAUUCACAUCAAACUAAUUUCAUCACAUACUCCAAAAAAUUUAAUCACUCAUGCCAAUUCUUAAUCUUCAUGAAAUCAAGUUCAACUAUUCAAUGCAACCCAGAAGUAAAUUUAACUCAUGGUAUCCAUUUCCAUCAUGCUAGGUUUUGAAACAUUCACUUAGAGUUAAAAGGAAGAACAAAAUUGGACAAAAAAAAAAUGGGGAUCAUUAUACAAGAAUGUAAAAGCAAACAUUUUUGUAAUGUCAUUUCUAAACAAAUAAUCAAAUAAGACGAAAGAGCCUCCUAGACAUACUUAUCGGUGUGUUACUUGAGAGAAAAGUAUAUCAAUUCCAAGACACGGCUUAAUUACAAGCAUCCUUUCCAGCAUAUAAUUGUUCGACUCAAUGAAAUACUAGGGCAUAGCUCAACUCAGGGUGAUUGGUUGACUUAACCUCAAAUCAUCAUUCAGCACUAUGGACUCUGAGUCCAAACUUUGGAUCAGAGCAAAUUGCCUAACACUAUAAUACUUCUUUAAUGAGUUGCAUUUGCAAAAUAUACAUCAUUUCCUCUUAUCUGCUUGAUUCAAAUGAAAAUGUAGCACAAGACUUGAAGUUGGAUGAUUUCUUUCCUGUUAACAGACUUCUAAGAAUAAAAGCUGCAGUACCAUUAUCUACCCUGAUAGCAAAUCAUUUGCCUGCACUAAAAAAUCCAUAAGAAGCAUCCUCAACUGCUACGCCAAUGUUUUGUAAUUAAAAUUGCUCAAGACAACCUGGCUACAGCAUAUGAGAAACCUACAGCACCACUCUAAUAAUUAUGUGAAUGAUUACAUUCGAAUCCCAAGUAUAUUAAGUUACAAGGAAUGAAACUGUAAGUUCUGAAAGAAAUAUAAUUGAUCAGAAACCUACUGGAUACAAGCUUAUCUCUUCAGUCUCAAAAAUUGGUAAGUUCGUAAUUCUCCAAAAGUUGAUUUUAGUACACAUUUUGGUUAACAAGAAGCUUUUACAAAUUCCUAAAGCUGCAAUAAUCUAUUACAAGGAAUCCCUACAUGUUAUAACUAGCUCAAUGUGAGUCUACCUAAUGACUCGAGGGAAAAAAAUUAAAUCCCAGCUCAACCCAGCAAAGAAAAUCAGUCUCAUUUUGUUGUUAAAAAACAAAACUUAACAUGAAUGCUGUUACAGAAGAAAAUUUCAGUUUUCCCCAGAUGUCCAAGAGUGGAUCCAAAGACAGAUUGGUGAAUUGACAUUAACAAACCCACUUAAUUAAUGAAAAUUUAAGUCCAAAAAGGGUAAUAUUUAUAUGGUAUGAGAAUUUCUUAGAAGUCUUGGAACUAAUACUACAACUAUACAAACGAAAAUGAAGAAUUUGAAUAGUGGGUCCUCUGCCUACAAAUUUAAAAAAAAUGAAAGAGGAAGAACCUGGCAAAAGGGUAUGGCUGCUUCUUUGUUCUUCCUUGUUUCUUCAGUCGUUGUAAGCGAUUGAAGGAGAAGGAGAAGGCGAGGUGGUGGACCAAACUCUGUAACAAAGACUCUCUCUGUUCUCUGAUUGUUUUCUCGAUAAUCAAACACAGCCACCAUUUUAGAGAUUUCAAGUUUCUUUAUUGUUUAUUUUUGACCUUCAUAGUUUGUAUUUUUAUCAGAUAGAUCCAACUUGUCUGAUAAUUAAUGCAUUGAGUUUGAGUUAUAAAUUAGAUCCCCAUAUUUUAGUUAAAUCACACGAUGAUGACCCCGUUUAUAUUUUGUUUGAAAUGAAUCCUUUCUGUCUAAUAUUUUUUUUUAAAUCCAAAAUUAAUUUAUGAUCCUUUUCCAAAAAAAAAAAAAAUCAAUUAUGAUUAAAAAAGUCUAAAAUCAAUUAUUUUAUUCUUAAAAUAAUUUAAACUAUCAUGUUGAUGACAAUAAAAUUAUUGAUUUCAUUACUAAGAUAUUCGCAUCUUAUAACAACUUCUAGAGUUUACACUUUAUUGAGAAAUUUUUUAAGUAGGAAUAUUAUCAAAUUCCAAUCUAAUUUUCCUUAAUAUAUCACUUCACUUUCAAGGAAUUCUGAAAAUUUCUUUUUUUCACCUGAUUUUAAUUUCUUUUAAUUUAAUAUUUAACAAAAUUUAUAUUGAAAAUCUAUUUUACCCCCAAGAGCUUUGUAAAUGCGUAAAACAAUGAUUUUCUCCUCUCAAAUUAAAAAAAAAAAUUCAAAAGUCAAAGACUUAGAAAAUCAAAUAUUGUUACUAUUAUAAGAUUUGAAAUAUAAUUAUAUUUAAAAAAUAAUGUCAUCUUAAUUGUUCUUUUAAUAUUUAUAUUAAUAUCAAUUUCAAUAAAUACAAAUCAAUUACAAUAUUAAAUGUAACAAAAACAUUAAUUUAAAAAAUGAUUUUAAUUUAAUUUCUUGUUCUUUUAAUGUUUGUAUAUAUAUCAAUUUAAUAAAUACAUAUCCAAUACAAUAAUUAAUUUAAUAAUAGUAAAUAUUUAUUUUUUUGACUACCUAUAUUAUUGAGAAAUUAUCAAUCUACCACAUGAAUUAUUUGUUUUGUAUCAAAUCACCAUUUCUAUUUAAAUUCGUAGAGUAAAAAAUACCUCAAAUACCCUAGUGAUGUCAUAAUUUCUUAAAUAUUGUUUGGUGAUAAAUUGAGAAAAAAAAUGAAAAGUUUGGUUGAAAAAAAUAGUUGUCGGAAUUCCAUAGUAUUUUUUUCAAAUGAAUUAAUUAUUGUCUCCAAAUAAAUUAAUUUAGGAAAAUUAUUAAGUAAAUUGUGUAAUUUCAAUUUUUUUUAUGAAAAUAAUUCUUUCCAUGAGGCAACUAUACUCACACACACACACGCACACGCACACGCUCACACACACACACACACACGCACAUGCACACACACACACACACACACCCUGUUUAGGGUGGGGAUAUGUACACUACAUAAGUUGAAUAAAUCCGUCUCAUUUUAUGAAAAAUUGUUUACAAAAAAUUCAUAUUUUUUUUAAAAUUAAAAAUGCAGAAAAAGUUUAAACAAUUAACUAACUAGAGGGGUGGGCAACAUCGGGUUCGAAUAAACCCAAUUGGGUUUCGGGUUGAUUGGGUUAGAGAAAAACCUAUUCGAUCCCAAUUCAGAUUUAUAACUCGAAUCGGAUCGAAUCGGCUUGGCUAAAAAAUGUUAGCCUAUAUGGCUAUAUAACAUUUUGAUUUUGAUGAUAACAAACCACGACCUAAUGGGUAAUAUUGGAAAUACUUAUUGUAUUUUUAUAAUAAGAAAAUGAAUGAUGAUUUCUCAAAGUUCUUAAAAUAUUUUCUUUAUUUCUUUUUAAAGGAAAAUUCUAAUAUGAUGAUGUGAUUUCAUAUUCUAAACGAAAACGAGUUUUCGUAAGAUGCUUUUCUAUAUAAAACAAUAUUUUAUUGAUAAACGACAUCCUACUUAAGAAAACUGACAAAUUGGAUUUGGAAAAUGUGCUUACUGGAGACAAUCGGCCAACCGAAUGUGCCAAAUGAUAAACAUGCUACCUAAAUUGAGCUCUCUAUAAUCAAAUGACAUACCAGUUACCAAUAAACGGUAAACCCAUUAUAUCAAUUGAGCUUUCUGGAAUUAAACAGCAUAUCGGUUACAAAUAAACAGAAAACCGGUUAUUCAAAAUUUAAUUUUUGGUAACAAUCGUAAACUCAAGUGAUCAAUUAGGAUAAAUGGCAAACCGGUUAUGAUUGAAAAGUCAAUAAUGACUAUUUUUGUGACUCUAUCUAUAAAUGGCCGAAGAAGACACCAUUGCAAAGGAUGUUGAACGAUUUGGCUGAAGAAGACACAUAUUUGAGCUACCAUUUGAUUAUAUUUAGUUGGGAGUGUGUAUUUCUAUGUAUUCUUCAUUUCAAUAUCAAAAUUUGAGGGAUUAUAAGUGUGGGAAAUACUUGGGUAAGAGGUGAGGGUUUCAACUUAAGAUUGUAAAGGUGUAUUAACACUUUGAAAGUUAAUUGUAAAGAUUUUGAAGUCUUAGGAUGUAAAACUUGAACAGUGAAAUCCUCAAUCUUGGUGAGCUUGGAGGCGUGAACAUAGGCAAAGUUUGCUAAACUACGUAAAAAUCUUGUGUUCGCUUCUCUUUCUCUUCUCUCUUUAUAUUUUGAUUGUUAAUAUUUAUUUGUUCGUUAUUUACUUAAUCUUAUUAGAUAUUUGAAUUGAAUUUUGUUUUAAUCACUUUAUAAUUUUUUAGAAACUUAAUUCACUCUCCCUUUUGGGUUGCAUAACUAGUAUUUCAAAAAAUUGGGUUGAAUUCAGAUGAGUUUUUCACCACUUGUGACAUUUCACCUUUAAUUGCUACAACAACACAUCCACACAACACUAUGGAGAACAACAAAACCAAAUCAGUUUGAAUUUGAACUGCAUUGCUCUUUCAAUACACAUCAAUAUAGAAUUGAUCACUUAUUUCAGUAGAACUUAUUUUACAAAUUUCACUAAUACACAAUAAAACAACAUAUAAAUUAUCUGCAAUUACGGUGUAGAAGUCAAGGGCAACACGACUUGGUCAAUAUUUGCAACAAUCCAAUAGUGCAACUUUUAUAAACGAAGAGCUCAAGUUGACAAUAUCAAUCAAUCAAGUAAAGGUAAAUUACAUUGAAUACUUGGAUUUGUAGACCGAAUUGCAACCAGGUUCAAAGAAGCAAUCUUGAAAAGAUAUAAGAUUUUCAGGAUAAUAAUGCAAUUGAGCAAGCGAUAGAUCCAAAGGAUCAAACAGCAGUAGUGGUCGCAGAUAGCAGCGAUCACGGAGCAACAGAUCUACUUAGCAUGUCCUAGACUCUCGAUGGCUUUGCACGGUUGCGUCAGUGACUGCGGACUGCAUCUGCGUUUGUCAUGCCGUUUGUUACACAUCUCCGAUCUGGGGUGAAGGUGUUGUCGUCGCCACCUAUGUGUAAUUGUGUGGUGUGGGUUUGCUACCGCUUUUGUUUUGUCUUUGUGAAGGAAGAAGAGAAUGAAAUACUAAGUCAUGUUCGAGUGUGUUUGAAUUAGGUUUUUUUGUUUUUAAUUUUAAAUUUAGCUCUUUUUUUUAGACCAAUUUGAUCAUUUUUCAUAUCGGAUCACAAUUCGGUCAGGCUGGCAAAAAUGCAUCCAAUAAGAUAUUGUAAACAAUUUGAUCCGAUCUGAACUUGAUAUUUUUUAGAUUGGAUCGGAUCGGAUCAGAUAUUUUGCACAACCCUAGUUAACUAUGUCAUUUGUUUUUAACAUAAGUUUGUUUACCAUUGUUGAUCAUUAAUGCUAUAUUAACAUAAUUUUCAUUUGACUAUUUUAGCUUUAUAAAAUAAAAGGAUCAAAUUGUUCAAAACAUUGGCUUUUGUGUCAUAAGUUUAAAAAAAACAAAAGAGUAUUUAAUUGGUUAAUUAUUCAAAUUUCUUCAUUUGAAAUUAUUAAAAAUAAUAUGAAUUCUUUAUAAUUAUGUUUUAAAGUGGGGGUAGAUUAACACCACUUAAGUGAUGGAAAUAUCACCAUUCAAAUAUUUCCAAUAUUUCCUUCAUAUGUCCCAAGUUAAUUUAUAGUUUUUGCAUAACCUUGAACCAAAACCCAGUUUGGUCGAUCUUUCUAUUUAUUAUGUUUUUACUUAUUUAAAAGCCAUGCAUGCAUCCGUUUAAUAAUUUUUUUCAAGGAUUUUUUUUUUAAAAAGUAGAAUGGUCGACAAAGCUCUAAUUAAUUUUUAACAUGAUCUACAUCUCCUAGAGUUUGAACUCCAGUGAUUAGCCAAAUCAAGCUUCUUGAAAACUAAUUGGCCAAACCUUUGAGCGAUCUAUUAGAAAAAGUUGAGAAUUGCUUUCAAUUUCAAGUAUAAUCAUAAUAUCAUAAUUGUUAUUUUUUUCUUCCAUUUGUUCUAGUAAUAAGAAUUGCAUACAAAAUAUCAAUCCAAGCUUCAGGAACAUCAACAAGCUAUCAAUGGCUACAAUGAUUAAAUUAAGGCUAAGUGUCUUGUUGUUAAUUGUUCUAUAGAAGGAAAAAUUGUCAAAGGGUGUUGGCGUUUUCAGCGAUACCCUUUCAAUAUUCAAGUUAGUCAUUUCUACUCAAUUUCUCGAGAGGGAGUAUAGAGGGAAGUGGACAACAUAUUUGUAGUCACUUUGUCUUACUUCAAAUGUGUGAGGUAUUAGCAUUUGAUAGAUAACUCGAAGGUUUGAGAUGGAGUAGUUAUCAUGCCAUAUGACUAGUGUCUAUAAAGCCCAUGCAUAAUGACACCUUCCAAUAUGUGUCAAUACUUGUUCAUGACAAGUAUUCUUUAGAUACUUGUCCUGAUUUUUGGCUCUUGAUUGUUAAUGGACUUGGGCUUGACUUUGGCUCUUAUAUUGGUUCCUUAUUGAAAGGAUCGAUUUAGUGACAUAUUGCCAAUCAACGAACUUUUGUAAAUUCUUUACUUGUAGGCACUUAUCAUAUUUUCUAAGUAAUUUGCCUUAGUCCAUUCUUGACCCAAGAACAUUUUCUUAACAAGAUUUGCCGUAGAUGUACUUGGUAAAAUUUUCCGUAGGCACUUUCCUUAGAAUAUUUGCUAGUAGGUACUUUACAUGAAGCGUUUGUUUGUCCAUAGCUCAUUUGUAGAAUAUUUGUUUGCCUGUACGCUGAUUUCAUAUAAUGAAUAUUUGCUCAUACAUUCAUUCUAUAGAAUGUAUAAGCGCAUUUUGUAGAUUGUAUUUGUUGUCCUUAGGCUCAUUCCAUAAAAUGUUUGUUAGUCCAAUGGCAUAUUCCUUAGAGCUCGUGUUUCUUCAUAAGCUCAUUCAAUAGGAUGUUUGUUAGCUCAUAAGCUCAUGCCAUAUAAUGUAUGUUUACCCAUAGGCUUCUUAUAUAAACUAUUCUCUAUGUACCUAGGUUAUUCUUGUAGAAUCAUGCACUUAAUGUUUUAUCAAUUCUUGCCUUCAGGCCAUUUGCUUAGAAUACUUUCUAAGUACCAUAGGUCAUUCCUGUAGAGAAUAAACCUAGGACAUUUGUGUAAAUCACGCCCUUAGGCAUAUAGGUCAUUCUUGUGAAGAAUAAACCUAGGCUAUUUUUUAUUUAUGUGUACCUAGGUCACUAUUAGAAAGAAUGAACCUAAGUUAUUUUUUUUUUAUAAAUUACGCCCUUGGCAUUUUACUAAAAACUGACCAUUCGUGCAUUUACUUAAAAAUAUUUUCUAAGUACCUAGGUCAUUUACUAUAAAAAAUGGACUUAGUUAAUUUUUUUUUUAUAAAGUUAUGCCCUUGGCGUUUUGUCAGAGAUUUAUCAUUUGAGUGUUUUAGUUAAAAAUAUUUUCUAAGCAACUUAGGUUGCUCUUGAAAAGAAUAGACCGAGGUCAUUUUGUAAUCAUUCCCUUGGCAAUUUGUUGAUGACACGCCUUUUGGAUGUAUUACUUAGAAAUAUUUUCUAACGGCUAGGACAUUUUUUUUUUGUAAAGAAUUUAUCUAGGUCUUUCUAAGUAAUAGACUCACAUCAUUUGCAGUUCGCCGAACUCUUGAAUUUUAGGCACUUUUACUUAGAAAUAUUUUCGAAGUACCUUGAUCAUUCUUAUAAAAAAUGGACAUAGGUCAUUUUUUUUAAUUACGCCCUUGAUGUUAAGUCUAAAGCUUUUUCUUAGGGCAUUUUUGCUUAGAAAUAUUUUCUAAGUAUUUAGGUCAUUCAUAUAAAUAAUGAACCUAAGUCAAUUUUGUUGAAUUUAUGCCCUCGGUGUUUUGUUGAUGACUUACCAUUUAGUGUAUCACUUAAAAUAUUUUCUACGUACUGAUUGACACUAAAAAGUACACAUUUAAUAAUUCUAAAAUUAUCAGUUUUUUACUUAUAGCACUGAUUAAUGCACUCAUUAUUCCUAAAUUAUCUUAAUGCUCCCCUAAUAAAUUUUUAUGUUAAAUUAAUUUCUAAUAUGUUAAUUUUUAUAUUGUAAAUAUUUCAGGAAUAAAGAGAAAAUUGGAACUGAAAGUGGGAAACAAAGAAGAAUUGCUAGAGCCAUUUGAAAUGCAUUAUUGGGGAGAUGUAAUCAGUAAAAAAAAAAAAAGGAAAGUUAGCAAAUAGGCUCGUUAUGGUUAGGUGGCCAUUUUGCCGCUUGAUUAUCUUGCAUUUCUAUGUAUAUAUAUUAUAAAAAAUAAUAAUAAAAUAAAAGAAGAUUGCAUGAUCAGUUGCCUAUAAAAGGCAAGAAUAUGAAGAUGGAAGAUGGAAGAAGAGUGGAAAGAAGAAAGGAAGCUGAGAUUGAGGCUUAGAAAAAUUUCUUCUUUUGUGUAGUUCAUUAUCAUAUAAUAUAUUUUAGGAGUUUAUUAAAUAAAAUGAGUAUUUUAUCUUUUCAAUAUGAGAGGCUAAUUUUCUAAGUUGAGGUGAGAGGUGAUGCUCAAGGAUUCAAAUUAUUAAAUUAAUUACUCUCUCAAGUGAAUUUUAAAGUCUAUUUUAUUAGUUUGUAUUUUUCUUUUUUAUUGGUUUUCCUUUAUAUCAUGCUAAUUUAUAAAUCUAGAUCUCCUUGAAUUUAUAUGGUAAUUUGAUGUCAAUUUCAUUUUUAUUUUAUUAUUCUCUUUUGUCAAUUAUUAUAUGUGUUUUUCAUCCUCUGUUACAUCAUUCUUUUGCUUGGUUCUAAUUUUAUUUCGUAAAAUUUCAGUAUUAUUUUAUUUUGAAAAACCACCUUGUAAAUGAUGAUAAUAUUAAAUUCAAUUAUAUAUAUCAUGCACGCAUUGAUCGGUUGUAAUACUUUUGAUAUAUUCUAGAAUUCCUGGUAGUAAGAGAGAGCAUGUACUUGGAAGAAGACAAUUUGGCGACAAGUAUUUCCAAUUUCUUUGACGACCAUUGAUCUUAGCUCCCUCCUCUCUCUUGUAAUCAUAGAAUUGCCAUAAACUUGUGAAGAAUUUCAUUUUGAACUAGAAAUUGUUGCAACUCAGUCCCUAAACUGAAUUGGAACUGGAAUAUUUAGAUUAUGACUUAUUCUUUGGACUAUGGACUGGAGGAUUAUGUGAGCUUGGACUUUGGACUUUAUGGACACAGUGAACAUGAAUUUGGGCUUUUAAAAUUACUAUUAAGGCCCAGAACCUAAUUUAAUUGGUUGGUAAUUUUUAUAAAUUGUUUUAAAAAAUGGGAAGUUCCACAUUUUAAGGUAAGUAUUUCUUUUCUUUAUUUUCUUUAAUUUCCACACUUUUUCUUUUAUUUUUAUUUCCUUCAUAUAUAUAUAUAUAUAAUUAAUUUAUAUGGUCGAUUCAACCACCGGAAAUUUUAUUUAAAUUUCAGUUAAUCUACUUUCGGUUCAUCUAUUUUUAUUAUUGUACAUUAAAUUAUGUAACUUUUAUUCCGCAUUUAAUUUAUGUUUUAUUAUAUGGCUGGUCUUAGAAUACUGCUUGAAUUGUUAAUAUUUUCUUAAGGUGUUAUUUUAUUGUUGCCUUUAAUUAUUUUGUUUUUAUGGUUGGUUUAACCGCCUAAUAUUUUAUUUUCAGUUUAUUUAUUUUUUAUUUUUCAUUUAUUUAUUUUUAAUUUCUGUACAUUUAUAUAUUUUCUUAUUUAAUUUUUAUUUUGUUCUAAUUGUGCAAUUUUCAUUUGGUGUUUUAUGCAUUAUCCAUUUGUUGGUGCAUUAUCUUCUUAAGUUAAUACACAUCAUUACCAUUGCAUGCGACGUUGGUCUCAUACAGAUAGUGGUAGAUUAAUUAGAAGAUCACAUUCAUCAUCUUUAGACAUGGCCGAUAUUGAAGCUGAUAACUUUUCAAAGCAUGGAAAUAACCAAGCCUUACAAAAUAUUCAUGAAUAGCCUAUGACACUUAUAGAUUUCAUGCAUCCUGUUGGAACAGGAUCACCAUCAUGCAUAGUUUUUCCUCCUGACGUAUCUCAUUUUAAUUUCAAAUAGGUAUCAUUUAACUUUUGCCUACUUUUCAUGGUUUUGAGUUUGAAAAUAUAUACCUACAUUUGAGAGAAUUAAAGGAAGUUUGUAAAACUUGUACCGAUCAAAAUUGUAAUAUGAACAUAAUAAGACUUAAGUUUUUCUCUUUCUUAUUGAAGAAAAAAGCUAAAACUUGGCCACAAAGUCUUAGGUCAAGAUCUAUCAGAACUUUGGAUGAAAUGCAAGCACAAUUUUUGAAAAAAUUAUUUCUACCUUACAGAAUAAAUUCUUUCAAAAGACAAAUUACCAUCUUCACUCAAAAACGAGAAAAAUCCUCUACCAAUGUUGGGAUAUGUAUAAGGAGAUACUCAACAUUUGCCCACACAUGAUUUUGAAACAUGGAGGUUAGUGUCUUAUUUCUACGAGGGACUAACAUCCCAAAAUAGACAGGUCAUUGAAAUUACGUGUAAUAGUGAAUUUAAGGACAAAAGUCCUGAAGAUGCAUUAGAUUACCUCUUGACUAUAUAGCAAAGAAUGCACAACACUAGGACAUAAUUAGUUCGUAUGAGUCAUCAAGUAAGCCAUAGUUAUCUCCAUCUGGUGGAGGCAUGUACAACCUUAGGGAAGACCAUGACCUUCAAGCCAAAUUUGCAUCCUUAGCUGGAAAAUUCAAAGCAUUAGAGUUGAAAAAGAAUGAUUAUGUAAAGUUUAUUCAAGAUAUUUCAUGUUAUGUUUGUGAUUCUACUGAUCAUUUUACGCAGAACUGUCCGACUUUACCAAUUUUGAGAGAAAGUUUGCAUGAAUAGGUAAAUGUCAUCGACAAUUUCAAAAAAAUGAAUCAUAAUCCAUACUUCUAAACCUACAACUCUGGCAGGAGAAACCACUUAAAUUUCAGUUGGAGAAAUAACAAUCAUGCACAACCUUCAUAACCAGCUCCUCCACGUCAGAAUUUCCAAAACUCUCAAAGUUACCCAUCGCAUGUCCCACCACCAAGAAAAACUCUAGAAGAUACAUUGCAUUUAUUCAUUAAAAAAUAAGAAUCGAUCAAUAACCAAACCAUGCAAACCUUGAUCACUUUGACAGAAGUUGUCUCCAAACUUACAUCAGCUCUCACCAUGCAUGAAAAAGGCAAGUUUCCUACUCAACCUGAAUCAAACCCCAAGAAUCAACAACAUCCUUAAAUGAAAAAUAAAGGAAGCCAAAAUAUAAGCCAAGUAAAAUCGGUUAUAAUCUUUUGUGGUGGUAAAGUUGUCAAAAAAUGCAUUUUGGACUCUCAUGAAAUUAGUAAGGAUUCAAUUUCACAGAAUAAGGAAGAGUCUUUCAAAUCUUUAACCCAUGAAAAAAUAACCAAAUCUCCUCAUGUACCCCCUUUCCUCAAGCAUUAAUCAAGCCAAAGAAAUCAAACCAUAGUCUAGAGAUUUGUGAAGUUUUUAAACAAGUGAAGAUCAACAUUCCUCUACUGGGCAUCAUUAAAGAGGUAUCGUUUUAUGCUAAAUUUCUAAAAGAUCUGUGUACCGUGAAAAGGAAACAUAAGGUGCAAAAGAAAGCUUUUCUAGCAGAACAAAUAAAGUUCAUUCUCUCAACCAAUAACACUUUGAAAUAUAAGGAUCUUGGUUGCCCAACUAUUUCUUGCAUUAUUGGGAUCAUAAAAUUGGACAUGCUUUACUUGGUUUUGGUGCUCAUUUUAGUUUGGUUCUUUACUCAGUGUACCAACUACUCAAUUUCGGUAAGUUAAAACCAAUCUCUACCACUAUUUUACUCACCGGUAGGUUGAUUAAGAUACCAAAAAGAAUAAUUGAAGAUUUAUUAGUCCGAGUAGAAAAAUUCAUAUAUUCUACGGAUUUUAUAGUUUUGAAAAUGGAACCAAUUACUAAUGAAUGCAAGCAAAUUCAUUUUAUAUUUACUAUUAACGCCUUUAUUAAUUGCAGGAAUGAAGUAAUAAAUUUAUCUUUCAACAACAUGAUGUUGGAAUUCAAUGUGUUCAACAUGUGUACAUGGCCUCACGAUAAAGAAGACGAUGAUAGUAAAAAUAAAGAGAUUGAACUCAUUGAGCCAAUCAUUAAGGAAUAUAUUCAAGAUGAGAAUUUUGUAAAUUUUGUGAAAAUUUGUUUUACUGUUUCUUUUUUAAUCAAGUAAGGAAUUAGAAUGUGAUACUGCUAACAUAUGCUCUAUACUUGAUUCUAGAUAGGUGCCUACAGGUGACGAUAACUCAUCGAACUUUGAAAAUACGAUACAACUUGAAAAGCUAAAUAAAGAAGAAGCACUAGAGCUUGAAUUAAAGCCCUUACUAGAAGAAUUAAAGUAUGCCUACCUGAGAGAGCAACUGAAAUAUCCAGUGGUAAUUUCUUCCCAACUCAUAAGUGAUUAAGAAGGUAAGUUACCUGUUGUGCUAAAAAGGCAUAAAAUUGCAUUUAGUUGGACCUUAAAAAAUAUAAAAGCAUUAAUCCUUAGUCUGCACACAUCGAAUACACUUAGAGGAAAAUUCCACAACAACUCGUCAACCACAAAUAAGACUAAGUUCUCAUAUAAAAGAAGUGGUAAAGAAUGAGGUCUUUAAAAUACUAGAUGUAAGAAUUAUCUAUCCUAUCUCUGAUAGUAAAUUAGUAACUCUAACACAAGUAGCACCAAAGAAAUCUAGAAUAACUAUUGUAACAAAUGAAAAAGGUGAACCAAUCCUAACACGAUUUCCAUCUAGUUUGUGUAUAUGCAUUGAUUAUAGAAAAUUAAAUGAUGCAGUAGAAAAUACCAUUUUCCUUUUCUAUUUUUAUACUAAAUUCUUGAAAGAGUAGCAGGACACCCCUACUACUGCUUUCUGGAUGGCUAUUCGAGCUAUUAUAAAAUUCCUUUAGCCUUAGAAGACCAAGAAAAGACCACAUUCACAUGCCCAUUUGGAACAUUUGGAUUUAGGAGAUUGUCUUUCGGACUUUGUAAUGCUCCUACAACAUUUCAAAGAUGCAUGCUAAACAUUUUUAGUGACAUGGUUGAAAAUUGUCGGAGGUUCUUACGAAUGAUUUAACUGUAUUUGGUAAUUCUUUUGAUACAUGUUUUGAUAAUCUAGAAAGAGUUUUGGAAAGGUACAAAGAAAAAAAUAGUUUUAAAUUAGGAAAAAUGCCAUUUCAUGACCAUUUCUAGAGUUGUCUUGGGUCAUGUUGUGUCUUCAAGAGGAAUCAAAGUUGACAAAUCCGAAGUUGAAGUCAUCUCAAAAUUACCCUCACCAAAGACAAUUAGAGAAGCAUGUUCCUUUUUUAGGGUAUGUAGGGUUUUAUAGGAGGUUUAUAAAAGACUUUAGUGACAUAUCUAAACCACUUUGUAACCUCUUAAUAAAAGGCACACCAUUCGAAUAGACUAAAGAUUGUCAGCAAGCUUUUGAAAAGAUAAUUAAUCUUUUAAUAUCAGCUCCAAUAAUGCAACCCUUUGAUUGGUCUUUGCCUUUUGAGCUAAUAUGUAAUGAUAGUGAUUAUGCCGUUGGUGUUGUUCUGGGACAAAGAAAUAAAGGUAAGCCCUUUGUCAUCUAGUACACAAGUAGAACAUUGAAUAGUGCUUAAAUGAAUUAUACCAUAACUGAAAAAGAAUUACUUGUCGUAAUAUUUAUAUUGGAUAAAUUUCGUUCGUACUUAAUUGGCUCAAAAUUAUUGUUUCUUUUGAUCAUGCUGCUAUUAGAUAUUUAAUGUCUAAAUAGGAUGUCAAGCCAAGAUUAAUAUGACAAAUUUUCCUACUCUAGGAAUUCAACCUGACAAUCAAAGACAAAAGGGGCACCAACAAUAUUGUUACAGAUCAUCUUUCAAGACUUACAAGUGAGUCUUCAAUUAAUACAACACUUGUCAAUAAUUCUUUCCUAAAUGAAUUUUUGUUUUCUAUAAGCAAAAUACCGUGGUACGCUAACAUUGUUAAUUAUGUUGCAAUAUGUGAAAUGUCAUCUGACUAGAGCUCCCAGGACAAGAAGAAAUUCUUAACAGAAGUAAAAAACUUUUAUUGGGAUGAUCCAUACAUGUUCAAGUAUUGUUCUAAUCAAAUUUUUCGGAGAUAUAUGUUAGACGAUGAAGUUAAAGUCAAAGGAGUGCUCAUUUGUUGUAAAAAAUAUAUAUCAAUAAAGGGCCGUAGAAAUUGAGAAUUCAAAGGACGGUGCUACAUUUAAAGUUAAUAGUCAAAGAUUGAAAUCGUAUUUAGAAUAUCAACCUAGUGAAACAGAUACUGAAAUUAAUUUGAGUGACCCACCAAAUCUUGAUUAAUUCUUUUAACUUAACUUUUUAUCAUUUCAUUUUACAGUUAAUUCACCAUUUGAAUUGUUUGAUUUUUUUCUUUUCUUUUUUUUUUAAUUUUUCUAUGUCUUAAAUGAAGUGCAUUACAAUAUUUUUUUUUAUUUAAGUGUGUUUGUUUGACAAUUAUAUUUCAUUUCAUCGUUUUUUAUAUUUGUUCUUUUGAAAGAUCUAGGAGAACGUUUACGUGUAAAAUUUCACAUAAGAAGCUUGCUCCAAGUUUGCAAAUUACAUUCUAUUUGGGAUUUACAACCACCAGUAUUAGUAUCCCACAUUAAAGAUCUAGAGAAAUGACUUAGGAAAAUAGAAGGUGGUAUUUAUGAACUUUAGUGGGAACUUGAGAUAAAUUCAAUAAAAUGACGAAAGUGAGUUAUAUAUUUGAUUAUAUUCAUUGUGUGUUUUUAUUUUGUUAUUUUGUUCUCCUCUGACUUGAUUUUGCAGAUUUGAUUUGUUUCUUUGAUAUGUUUUGAUUCACUUUUCCAUAUAAAUGACGAAUAACGGUACCCUGUGACUUUUUAAGUCAGUAUUUUUAGUUUCCCAUAAUAACUAAAACCCCAAAAUAAGUAUGGAAGAAAUACAACAUAAAUUGCAUAAGCGAUUUCCUUUUCUCCCUCAAAAUGCUUUUAAGAAGAUUUAUAAAGCUUGUUGUGAACGACUGCGUCUGUUAAUGAUCAGUGGGAUUCUCGUUGACAUUCAUUGGUUAAGUGAAGCAAAAGUCUGAUUGGCAGGUGAGUUUUUUUAUCCAUUUGUUUCUUAAAUGCCUGGUUUUGGUAAAAGCACAUUUGCUAAAAAAAAAAAAGAGUUAAGUGGCUUAGCUCUAAAUGUCCUAACUUUGUAAGACUUGUUUGAAAUAAACCAUGUAAAAAACUUUAGAAAUGAUUUCUAUAAAUCGUGAAAAUAAAUUUAAAUUCAUUAAGGAUGACAUAAGUAAAGAAUCAUUAGAUGAUAUCUUAUGAUCUCUUGAGAGCAUUUGAACGAAUAUGUGCAACGGGAGAUUUAUAAUUUAUGGAAGUUGUUCCAAAAAGAAAGUGCACAGUUUAGUCUUGGGAAUUUGACUCUACAAGACCUUGUUUACCAAUUUAUAAGAAAAUUGGAUGGGAAGUCUAUCCUCGACUCAUAGAGGGCGUUCAAGCCAUUACUGGACGUAAAACUAGAGAAGAUAUGAGUCAUAAUCAUAACUACUAGUAAAUAUCCUUUAAUUUUAAUAUUCUUUUACCUUUUGCAUUAUUGUUUUUAAUGAGGUGAUCGCAGUUUGCUUUUUCCUUUACUGCUUUCUUUUCUUGUUUGCUUUAAAAUUGUUGAGUUAUAAGCUUCAUGCGUUAUUUGACACCACCCUAUAUACAACUAUGUAUCAUUAUGUUCAUCAUUGAGAUCUUUAAAUAGGUGCUCAUUUUUUAGAAUUGUUCUACUGGCAACAACUUCGAACAUACAACUUAAGAACAUUUGUGCACUUUCUGAUUUCGCUAUGAAAAAUAUAAGGAGUUUGUUUAGGCAGUCGUAGAUCUUGGUCGUAUUAUAGUAAGAAGAAAACUACUUCUUGUAAAUAGAGGAGGUAAUCGCGGGUUAUCAAAGCUUGUCUCAAAAGCUAUUUUUGUUCGAGAAAACUAAGUGCUAAGCAUCAUUCCAAAAGCCUUAAAACCUUUGAGAUGUCUAUCUAACCCACCAGCUGGAAACAAAGUUAGUUGUCUCAAGUACGCAAGAAAGAAUAUCUGAAAUAUUAAAUCAUACUGACACCUUCAUUUUUUUACCAAGAGAUCUUACAACUUUAGAAGUGCUAAUUACAUUCGUUUCUUAUGCUCAUUUAAAAAUCCAUAAAAACCCAUCAGUUUGUUAAAAGUUAAUAACUUUUAUGAUGACUUAAUAGCAUUUCUUAAUCAUUUCAUUCCAUCCUCAGUGAAAAGCAUUUUUAUCUGUGUUCAUAUUGUUAACGAGUUACUUGAUCUUUUACAAGUUUUCAAACCAGAGCUAGAUCCCAUGACUUUGAUUUUGGAUUGGUCGACUAAUGAUGAUGGCAGUAACCCUAGUAAGAAAUGUAAAUUAGAUUUAACUCUUCGUUUGUAAAUAUUUUAUAGCAGUGGGCAGGUAAUGUCUUCUAAACUCUACUUCUUUCUUCUAAGACAUUGAGGACAAUGUCUCCUUCAAGUUGGAAGGAAAAAUUAGUUGAUAGUUGUGAAAUGUCUCAGUCCUGGUGAUAUUUUUAUUAAUUUUUGUUAUAAAGACUAACUUUGGAUAGAUUUGAGUCGAAAAUGGUUUAAUAUAGAGUGGAGUGACUUUAGAAACGCAUAUUCUUACUCUUAGAUUUUUGUUUCUAAAAAAAAAAAGAAUUUGUUUUCCAACUUUUUCUUCCUUUUUUUCCCUCUUAAUGAUCUCCUUUAAAUUUAUGCGAUCAGUUCAGGUGUGAUCGCUUUAACUUCUUCAUUGAUUAUGUUUUCUUUAACUUUUGAAAAACGACAAAAAAAGUAUUAAUUUUUUGUGUGAGCUUGUAACAUUGGAUAACAUGAUGACUUUUGAAUUUUGGUAUUUGUGUAAUCUUUGGUCUUGAGUUAUUUUACACCAUGUUUCUCACUUUGCAUGUUGAAAUGUAAAUUGAGAAAUUUAAUGAAUGAAACUGAUUAAGCCAUUUGAAGGAAUGAACAUGUCAUGGUAAGUACAAGUGAGUUUUUGAACCUAUUAUCCUUGGAGAGUAACCUUGUUUGCCUACAUAGCUUCACUGUUUAUUAUACAAUCUCUCGAUAUUUUCUUUAAAUUCAACCAAAAAAAAAAAGAAAAGUGAAAAAAAUGAAAUGAAAAAAACUUUUGUGCAACUGCAUUUAAAAAUCCAUUGAACCAGUGGAUAUGAAAGAUUAUUUAGAACUCUAAAAGAUGACAAAAAGACCAUCUUUGAUUUGUUUGAACUUUUCUACCCAUCCCUAUUAUAAAGUAUCUGUAGUUAACCCCUUUGAGCCUAUAUAUUAAAAAAAUGUAUUCACUAACCUAUCAUCUUGUCUCACUUCAAUGUGGAGUAUCACCUUAUGUUUUAUGUUUUCCAUUACCCAAUUAUGUUUGGAAAUAAGGAUGAUUAUAUAUUCCCGAAAAUGGUGCUAUGAAGGAAAAAAUAAAAUAAAUAAUAAAUAAAAUAAAAUAAAUAAUAUGAAAAAAAUCCAAGUGAAAAGCACCUUGUAAUCUCCAAAAGUCCUCUAUUUUUCAAACAUAUAUUUUGUUUUCCUAUUAUCACUUUUUUGUUAGCCAUAUCCCUAGCCUACGUUAUGUCAUAGUGAAAGUUCUUCUUGAUUUUAAGGAACUAUAGUAUGAAGUAGAAGAUGGUAAUAUGGACUAAAAGAUGUGGUGAUGCAUAAAAUUGGAAAUAAAUUGGUUUGGCUCGUAAUUCCCUUAACUUGAGAUCAUUUUAUUUCUAAGCUAUGGGUAUUAUUCUUUUAUCUUGGUAAGAGUGUGUGAUAUUGUUUUACUAUAAUAUCAAUCUAUCACUUCUUAAAGUGACAUUUUUUUGGGGUUUAUUUCCUUUUGAGAGAGUCACUCUUAACCAUGAGAUUUUGGGGUUUGACAUAUUAUUUUUAAAAGUGACUUAAUUAAUAUAGUUAUGAUAAUUGAUCAUUUUGCAUGAUUUUACUUGACUACUUUGUGUGGGUGUAAUUUUCUUUAGACCGAAGAUAAUGCUUAUACUUUUAUUUGACUAUUGUCAUGAAUCCGAUAAAAGAAGUAAACACACUUUUAAAAAAAAGAUUUCAAUUUGCGUUUGAAAUUUUGCUAAAUUUUUAUAACUUAAAUUGUUAGGGCUUAGCAAUAAGCAGGUUGGGGGGUGUAAUUAACACUAAAAAGUGUACAUUUAAUAAGUCUAAAAUUAUCAGUUUUUCACUUAUAGUGUUAAUUAAUACGCUCAAUAUUCCUAAAUUAUUUUAAUGCUUCCCUAAUGAAUUUUUAUGUUAAAUUAAUUUCUAGUACGUCAAUUUUUAUAUUGUAAAUAUUUCAGGAAUAAAGAGUAAAUUAGAAUUGAAAGUGGGAAACAAAGAAGAUCUAGAGCUAUUUAGAAUGCAUAAUUAAAGAGAUGUAAUUAAAAAAAAUAAGAAAGGAAAGUGAGCAAACAAGCUCGUAAUGGUCAGGUGGCCAUUUUGCCACUUGAAUAUGAUAAUGGUUUUACGUCUAACUUUUGUGGUUUUUCGACUUGGGCUUUCCAUUUCUUAAAAUCCAUUAAAGGAGUAGAUUUUAAUAAAGAAUUUUCUUCACGAAUCAUGUUAUCCUCUUCUAUGUUUGUUCAACAGUAAGCUAUACACAUUUUUAAUAGGUCAUCUCUAUAAAAAUGUAUGAAGGAAUCAUUUACUACACUAUCAAUUAGAUUGACAUCUCUAACAUAAUUAAAAUCAUUUAUAGAAGGUUGUCGGCUAAAAUUAAGCACAUUGAGUUCCAUGUCAUAUUCCCAAAUGAAAUUUUCAUUACACCAUUACAACAAUUAAUAAGCGCAUCAACUGUGGGUAAGAAAGGUCAACCUAAAAUAAUAGGAAUUUGAGAACAUGGAUUCUCCACAGGUUCAGUAUCAAGCACUAUGAAGUCAACAGAAAAGUAUAAUUUAUCAAACUUGACAAAAACAUCAUCUAUAAUCCCUCAAGGAAUUUUGACUGAUAUGUCUACUAUUCAAGUCUCCUAAUCCUAAUUUCUUAUAGAUAGAGUUUGGCAACAAGUUAACACUGGGUCCUAAAUCAAGUAAAGCUCUAUCAAAUGUAACUAUGGCCAAUGGGGCACAGCACGACCCACCAACUAUCGGCCCACAAGGGCUUGUUUGGUGGGUCGUGCCGUGCCUACCUUUUUUUCAGUUGAGCCCAACACGGCCCACGGCACGAACCCGCUUGUGCCGUGGGCCGUGCCCAAAAAAAGCCCACCAACUUUUUUUUUAGCGUGCUUAAAAAAGUCCAUGUGCCUGGCGUGCCUUAUUCAAGCCCACGUGCCUGACGUGCUUUUUAAGCCCACCAACAUAAUAAUAAUAAUAAUAAUAAUAAUAAUAAUAAUAAUAAUAAUAAUAAUAUUCACAAUCAUAAUCAUAUUAAUUUUUAUUAAGAGAGCAAUUAACAUUUUAUUAUUAGUUUAUCACAAUUUCACAACUAUAUAUUUUAUUUCACAACAAUCAAUCAUAAUUCAUAACACAACAAUACAUAAAUUUAAUUAAAUUUAAUUCCAUAGAUCAUAAUAAUAACUAAUUAAAAUUAAAAAUACAAUCCUCGAAUAAUCAUUACAAUAAGUCAUAACUACGAAAUUUUAAUAUAACAAAUCAUAGGUCACAACUUACAAGUUACAACUACAAAACACGAACUACGACCAAUUGACGAAUAACAAGCACAAAAAAAACAUUUAUUAAUCACAACUAUGAAUACAGGAAACGAGCAAGGUUAAUUCUAUCUCGACUAGUGGUGAGUUAAACAAUUUGACAUGUGCCGACGUAAACCCAAGGUGCCAUGGCUGUUUGAAUAAAUAACUUCUCGAUGACAAUAGUUGCACCUCAAGAUCAUCCGCUUGUAAGGACGAUGCAAACUAUUAUCUAUUAUUUCCUCCCUUAUUAUAGUAAAAUUUUGAAAAAGCUCAUUUAAAAAAUGACUUCUGGGCUUAUUUAGCCUAGCAUUUUAUUGAGGGUGUUGAGGUUCUUCUGCACUCAUAUUAUGUUGCUGCGGAUUCAUAAUGAUUUUGGCUUUUAGAAUAUUGGAAAGUUUGAGGAAAAAGAAGAAGAAUAAGAAUUGUGAAGCAUGAUAGCAUAAUGGCAUGUAUAUAUAAUAUUAGAUAGUAAUAAAAAGACAAAAAUUACUCUACAUAAUGAAACUUGAAUUGACUGCACUGCAAAUCUGCAAUCUGCACGUUUGCAUGUGCACUGAUCUGCACAUCUGCAUGUGCACUAUAUGACAAAUACCGUGUUGAAAAUUUGAGUUGAGAAUUUAAAUUCAAAGAAAUAAAAUACUCUACAUAAUAAAUGCAAGCUCCUCCCGUAUUACUAGUUUACUACUAUAAUAUUAUCUCAUCAACACACUUGACACUUGUGAUAGGAUUUAAUGAUUUAUUAACAUUGUGAUAGUUGCGUGAUUCUCUUGUAACAAUGAACCAUAAUUUUUUUUAAUUUAAUAUGUUUUUUUGAAAAAAAAAUUAAUUGCUAAAAUUAUUUAAAAAAUAAAUAACAACGGUGCACUUAGAAAUUAUUUUUUUCUAAUUAUUAAAUAAUAAAAAAAUUCUAAAUUAAUUUUAUUACUCACCCAACGGACAAAAAAAUUCUGAAUUAAUUGAAUAAAAAAAUUCCGAAUUAAUUGAAUUACUCACCCAAUGGACAAAUCUUUUUUUGAAUUAACAGUAAAAUUGAUAUGACUACUCAAUUUUAUAGUAUAAGCAGUCGGGCUCUGAUUAUCAAUUAAUUUUUUUUGACUUUUAAUGACAAAAAAAUUUUAAAUUAAUUCCAUAUUUUCAUUACUCACCCAACGGACAAAAAAAAUCUGAAUUAAUUGAAUAAAAAAAUUCUGAAUUAAUUGAAUUAACAAUAAAGUUGAUAUGCCUUAAAAAAACAAUAAAGUUGAUAGGACUAGGUGACUAGUCAAUUUCACUUUCACAGCAUGGGCACUCAACAAUUAGACUUGACUAGCUUACAGAAUUUGUAAGCUACAGACUGCAGCAUCAACCGUUGGAUGUGGAGUGAGAAACUAAACAAUAGACAAUCGAAUGGUGGGAAUGGGAUGACACGAGAUGUUUGUUACAGAAUCGGUACCAUAGAGUCAUAGACAGGUCCCUCAACAAUUAAUUUUUAAUAAUAAAAAAAUUCUAAAUUAAAUCAAUUACUCACCUUACAAGUUACAAUUCCAACGGACAAAUGAAUGAUUAAAUGCAACUGUUUAAUUUGCUGCAGCCUUGCAGAGUUGCAAGAAGCUUUGCAGUUGUAGACUUGUAGGUUUGCAGCGUGUUUGCCCGUUUUUGACAGUUAAUAUUUUUUGCAGCGUGUUUGCCCAUUUUUGACCGUUAAAAUGUUUACUUUUUUAUUCUAUUUAAACGAUUAAAUUAUUUUCGAAUUCAUCUCACUUCUCAAUUUCUAAUUCUCUAUCUCCAUUCUCCUCAUUAUCUCUCUUGUCUGAUCAGUCAUCUCUAGUCUCUGCUUGCCCAAUCUUCUUUGCUACAAUUCCAGUAACUUUUCUUUGUUACUGAAACCUCAAACAAAGCAAAACAUCAUUCAACACCAUUUAACACACGAAUCUCCAUUCUCUUGCUCAAUAAAUUUUUUUCUUUUUUUCACCCGCACAAAUACAUUCCAGACGCCUUUAUUUACCAAAACACUAAUUAUAUAAAAUGUCUCACCCUUAUUUAGAGUUAGAUGAGAAUUUUAAUUUUGUUGAAGAGGGGGAGGAAGUUGCAAAUGAAGAAAUUGCUGCACCAGAAUUUGAUCCAAGUAAUAUAUUUAUUGUCCCACCUGAACGAUCGCCUCCUACUUCUCAAGCAAGUCAAAGUGGUUCUACUUCUUCAACUGUUGGUCCUACUACUACCUCCAAACGACAAAGAACAUUGAUGGUUUGGUCAUGUUUUACUUUGAAAAACGUCAAAAAAAAGAAGGUGAAAUGGUGGAUCAAGCAGUGUGCAAAUAUUGUCAAUUUGCUUUAAGUGCCAAAAGCGAUGGUGGAACUGGACAUCUUAGACCUAACACAAACCCAACUCUCACAAUAUGGUUCUGGACCUUCUGGUAUAACAUCAUUAAGAUAUUCACAACAGAACAUGCGAGAAGGAUUGGCUCGGUAUAUUGCUACAGCAGAACAACCUUUAACAUUUUUAGAAGAUGAACGUCUAAUAAAUUUUUUGCAAAGGUAUGUUCAGCCUCAACUUAAGAAAGUGCCUAGAAAUAAAUUAAAACGUGAUUUAACUAAAAUUUUCAUGACAUGAAAAAACUUUUAAUUAAUACUUUUAUCAAUUUUAAUGGUGUUAUUUCAAUUUCUUCUAAUUGUUGGACUGGUAUUAAUAUGGUUGGUUAUUUUUGUGUGACUUCGCACUCUAUACAUGAGCUUAAUGGUAAAUGGAGGUUGGAAAAAAAAUUGCUUGCAUUUCAUGAAUUAGAAUAUCCUCACACUGGUUCAGUAAUUUAUGCAGCUAUAAUGUCUGUUUUAAGAGAAUAUGAAAUUACUAAUAAAUUAUUUAGCAUAUCAUUUGAUAAUGCAUCUGCCAAUACAGCGGCAAUUGAUAUGUUUUUGCGAAAUAUUUCUACUCUCAUGCCUGCACGUGGUUCAAAAUUUUUUCAUGUGAGAUGUGUGUGUCAUAUUAUUAAUUUAAUUGUUCAAGCUGGUAUGACUCAUAUAAAUCAUUAUUUAGAAAAAAUUAGAGCAGCCAUUUUAUAUAUUAGAGCACCUUCAAGACGUCAAUAAUUUUUGGAGACGUUGAAAAUUUUUGGAUUGAAAAGGAGAAAAUUCAACCUUGACAUGAAAGUUAGUUGGAGUUCUACGUAUUUAAUGUUGCUUUCUUGUCAAAACUAUUCUGAAGCAAUUUCUAGUUUUUACAAUGAGAGAAUGAAUGAUGAAGAUUAUCAUAUCACUGAUUAUGAUUGGAAUGUUGCAUUUAAAUUUAUGGAUUUUUUAAAGGUAUUUUAUGAUGCUACUCUUGCAUGUUCUACUGUUUAUGAGCCUACUUCAUGUAGAGUGUUAAUGCACUUGUACAAUAUAAGUUAUACUUUUAAGACUUUUAGAGAGAAUAUUAUGUUUAAAAAUAUUUGUGAUACCAUGGAGGAAAAAUUCCAAAAAUAUUGGAAAGAUAUUCCCCACCUAUUUAUUUUUGCAGCAGUGUUGGAUCCUACAAUCAAGGAAGUUGGUGCAAAACUUUUAGUUGAGGGUACUAGUGAAAAUUUACAAACCGGGCUUGAUACAAAUUUUGAUACAAUUAUGUCCUCUAUGCAUGAACUUUUUAAUUUUUAUCGAAAUAAAUUCGGAUCAAGCAAUACAUAUUCUAAUGUUCAACAAGCAUCGACUUCUUAUAAAAAUCCAGCUCACCUUUUGUUACUCAAAGGUAAGGGUGUUGCCUCUAGUAUUGAUACUAAUCGUAAUGAAUUGCAAAGAUAUUGUUAUGCCAAUCUUGAAGAUUUAGCAACUCCUUCACAAUUGCAAAAUUUUGAUAUUUUAGAAUUUUGGAUGGGUAAGACAUCUUUUUUCCCUAUAUUAUCCAUUAUGUUCCGUAAUCUACUAACCCCUCCAGCUUCAACUGUAGCAUCAGAAUAAGCUUUUAGUACAGGUGGCAGAAUUCUAGAUGAACAUCGGUCAAGAUUGUCAUGAGAGACAUUAGACUCUUUGUUGUGUUUGAAAGAUUGGGAAGAUGCUGAACGCCGAGUGCAACAAGAUUGGCAAAAUACUUUAAUUAAACAAAUUGAGAGUUUGAAUGUUGAUCAAGAUGAACUGGAUCCAGAUUAUGCAGAGUACUGAACAUUGAAGCCACUUCCAAAGACUGGAGACUUUUUUUUCUUGUAACUUUUUGAAACAAAUUCUAUUAGUGAGAAGAUUGUAAAUUUGCAAAUGAUAGAUGGUUCAGUAGGUGCCAACCUAGUUGGGAUGUACUGUUAACUGUAGUGAUGCAAAUUACACCUAAUUUUAUUUGAAUUACAAAUAUUAUAAUUGUACUUUAACUUCAUUUAAUGAAAAUGUAAUUUUUAAUUUAUCAUAAUUUUUCUUGUGUAUAAAAUGAAAAAUAUUUCAUUCACAAAUGAAACGUAUCUCAAUUAAAUAUGAACUAAGUUAUGAUUUAAUAUUAAUAUGAAAAAUAUUUCAUAUGAAAAAUAUUUUAUUAUUAAUUUUGUAAAAAAAUUUAUUUUUUAUUUAUAAUUUAUAAAUUUAUGAUAUUUAUAAUUUUAUUUAUUAAAAUCAUGAUAUUUAGUUAUUUACUUAUUCAUUUAAUAAAUUAUAAACAUAAAUAAAUAAUUAAAUAAAUAUCAUAAAUAAUAAUGAUUUAAAUUAAUUUUUAAAAGUCUAUGCUAAAAAAUAUAUUAAAACAUUUAAUUUCAAGAUAUUGUACUUUAAUUUCAUAACAUUUUAUAUUUACUUUUUGUUAAAAAAAUUUACUUAGAUAUAUUUUGGCCCACGUGCUAUUAAUGGCUCACGGGCCGCGUGCUAGCCCACUAAUGAACCGUGCUUAUUACGUGCUUUUUCGCGUGCCGUGCUUUGGCCCAUCUCUAAUCGUGCCGUGCUUUAAGGCCCGCGUGCCUAAAAUUCUAGGCCCGGCACAGCCCAUGUGCAUGCCGUACCGUGCCUCGUGUCUCACCGAAAUGUGCUCGUGUCGUGCCGUGCCGUGCCGUACGGACGCGUGCCGUGCCGUACGGACGUGUGCCGUGCCGUACGGACGCGUGCCGUGUCCAUGCCGUGCCACGUGCCGCCCGGCCCAUUGGCCAUCUUUAAUAAAAUGCAUGAUCUCUAAUGAUACAAGAAAUUGUGUACUUAAUAGGAACUUUAUUUAGGAGAAUGCUACUAACCUUUUUAGUUAGGAUUGCUUUAUGUGGACAUUGCUUUUUCUUUUUACUGUACAAAGAUCUUUUAAGAAUUUAGCAUAAGAAAGUACUAGCUUAAUAGCAUUAAGCAAAUGAAUGCUUAUACAAAUUUGCUUAAACAUUUUUAAAAUAUCAUUAUAAUGAGUACAGUUCUUUUGUAGGACGAUUCUUUAUAGGUAAGGAGCUUCAAGAACAGAAGGCUUGAACUGAAUUCCAUUCUCAUUAGGUUCAUUAAGUAAUGGCUUUUCAAUUAGAGUUGGUUGACUUUCUUUCUUACUCUCAAGAACUAAUUGUUUUUCUAGACCUAAUGGUAGUUAUAGAUUUGGCUUCCUCAUUAGGCAUAUUAGCAAUGGAAAAUGAUCCUAUUUCAAAUUUACCUUUAGGGUUAGGAAUUGGUUGACUAUAUAGUUUUUGUUACUCUUUCUAAGCUAUAAUAGUUCUAAUUGUGAUUUUCAAGCAUUGAGUGAAUGAAAUUUUAAGUCUAUCCCCUAAAGAAUGUUGUCUUUCCUAGGGUGUAACAAAUUGAGAUAUAGGUUGUUAAACAGAAAGAUUUGCUUGAUUAGGAGGGACCAAUUAUUGAUUGGGCAUGCUAAAUUGUUGUCUUCCUUGGUUUGAAAUAGGUUGAUUUUGUUUCUACGAAAAAAUAAGGUGAUUCCUCAAAUUAGGAUUAUAUAUGAGCGAAUAUAGACUAUUAGAGGAUUUUUCAUAUGAUUGUAAGGCAUGUACCUAAUAAGCAUCUUGAUCGGCUAAUAAUUUUGUAAUAUAUGAGAUAGGUUGGAACAAAGAGUAGAAACCUCAUUAGCUACAAUAGAGUGAUAAUUUAUUGAUUGGUUUAUAGCUAGACUUCUACUUUCCUAGAAAGUGUAGCUAGAGGGGAUUUCAUAUCAAAAUCAUCCUUAACUUCAUAUAGACAUUUUUUUUUAGAAACUUAGGUUGAUUUUUCUCUUUGAUUUGAAAAAUUCCAUUGUUGAGAAUUCUCAGAAAGUGAAUUAAAGAAAUCCCUAAAAACUCUUUCAUGUAGGUUCAAAAACUUCCCACCAUUCAUAUACUCUAUCAUAUGAUGAUUUGGCAUAUUUGAACCAUUAUAAAAAGUAUUGUACUAGUCUCUAUUUCUCAAAAUGACAGUGGGGACACUUAAGGAGUAGGUCAUUGAAUCUUUCCUAACCCUCAUAAAUUGUUCAUCCUCUCUUUGAUAAAAAAUCAUUUAUCUCUCUCCUAAGGGAAUUAGUUUUAGAUAUAGGAAGAAAAACUUAUUACUUAAAUCAUCCCACAUAGUAAUAAAUUCAAUGGAAAAUGAAUAGUAAUAAAUUCAAUGGAAAAUGAAUUCAACCAAGCUUUUGCCUUUCUUUUAAUGAGAAAAGGAACUUAUGAAGCCUAAUUGACUCAUCAUUAAAAUUUUAAAAAGGGAAUAUAGAGUAUAUUUCAAGAAAUUCCUUAAUGUGCAAAUAAAGUUCUCUCUCUAACUUAUAAAAAGAUAGUAAAAGCUUAUUGACAGUGGGGUUAAGUACAAAGUGUGUUGCUAUAGUUUGUGGGAACAUAAUAUAAGUUGGUUGUUUGAUUGUCGUUGAUGAAAAAUAAUCUCUAAGGGUUUUCUCUACUUGCACUGCUGGCAAUGCUAGGAGUACUCUAUUUUAGUUAUCCAUUACUUGAAAACAACUAGCUCUAUCACUAUUAAUUUUGGAUUUUUUUUUUUACCAAAUGAUUUGUUGAAUCGUGUUCCCAAACAUUUAUAAAACUAACUAAACUCCAAGAGAGAAAAUUUGUCAUUGGACAUGGAAUAGAUGUCUAAUCUUGACUCAAAAAUCACAUCAUAGAAAAACCAAAAAGCUUGAAAACUAUCUUAAUUUUAGUUCAAGGGUAAAAUUUUUUUUAUUGUCUAGUUUAUAGAGAAUUAUUAGGAACAAUUUCACUAGUAAAUUCUGUCUUAUAAGCUCCUAUUCUUUUCAAGAUUCCAAUGGAUAGAUUACUAGUUAAGGUUAUUAAACUAACAAGACAGCAGUUCCCAGAUAAGGAGGAGAGGCACCUGGUGUACUUAAAUUCCAAUACUUGCCUAGCCAAAGCUAACUGUCAAAUAUUAAAUUCAAUAAUUACUCAUUGGAGUGACUAACAAUAAGAUCUUUUUUACACAAAAAACCCAUAAAAAAAACAAUAAGAUCUUUUCUAGGGGUCUUGUAACUAUGAAACCCUAAUAAAGGUCAAUUUUCAAUUGCUUUUAAUUUUAAUUUAUGGCUUGAGUUGAGAGAUACAAGAGAUUUUUAAUCUAUGGGCAAGGAAUUUGUGAUGAAGUCCAAUCCUUAUCUUGUUUGAAUUAUUACUCUUAUUAAAAUUUUAAUGAAAAUGUUGAAUGCAAACUAAACAAGAGAAAGAAAAUAAAAGGGUGUGGGUGUGUGGAGUUGAUUGGUGUCUUAAAAAGGGAGUUGCUAAGUUAUUCUACCUUACUCUUUGUCCUAAAAUCUAGAGCAACCUAAACUAGAAAAAUGAGUUUUCCUAAAACUCGAAAAAGAAAGAAAAAUAAACUAACAAUAAUAAAAAUAAAUAAAAUUUAAAAUAAAAGAAAUUAAACAACCAAACAAUGAACUCAAAAUCUAAUUAUAAUGUUUUUGUGAUUUUUCAUUGUUUUAAUAAUAAAAGUUAAGCUAAAUUAUAAACAGUAGAAGAAUCAAAUCAAUCUAGAUUAAAUUAACUUUCCAGCACAAUUCCUAACAACAGUGCUAAAAACUUAUUGUCUAAAAUUUUAAUAACAAGUGCUCGAAACUUUAGAAAUAGAGUAGAUGUAACAUGGUUGAACCAAUAGGGAUUGCUAUAAAUUAAAAAUAUAAUUUAAAUCUAAAAUCAAAAUCCUAACCUACUUGAGUAAAUUGAGUUUGAAGAGAAUUAAACUAUUAAACUAAGAAAAUAAUUAAAGCAAAGAAAUUUUCAAUAAGACAAAUGUUCAACCUCAAACCAGCAAAAAACUAAUUUAGAUUCCUAAAGACCCACUCUAAAAUCUAUGAACUCAAGUUAACACUUAAAGUAUCUAAUUUUGAUGAAACUGAUACAAGUACUCAGAAGCAAAUCGAUCAAAUCAACAAGAGCGGAAUUGAUCAUACUCACUUAACACACAAGAUUUAUAAUGGUUUGGCCACUAUUUUGCCUACAUCCACUAUGGAAAGAGAGAUAAGAUUUCACUAUUUUAGAGUUUACAAUAUACAAUGUUGAACAAGAGAUGUAACUGAAUCAACCUACACAUACAAUAGAUUAUGAGGCUUUGUAUACAAAGAGUACUUGAUCUAGAAAGGUUCCUCAGUAGCCAGCUUAUGUGUUUCUAGGUUUUGUUACCAACACUGAUGCAGCGGAAGUUUAACGUUCAAAAUAUUCCGUUGAUUCUAGAGAAUACCGGAACAAAAGAACAACUAAAUUCACGUUGAUUCAAAAGAAUACCGCGAAUUUAGGGGUUAAGACUCGUUGAUUCUACAGAAUACCGAGAAUUAAUUGUUCAAAUAUUCAUAAAGAGAUUUGAAAAUUGAAAUAUUAUUGAACGCAAAAUUCUACCUUCAAAGGCUACAAGAGGGAGCUAUUUAUAGUAGUAGUAAUUAUCCUAAUUAAUGAAGUAAAAACAAAAUCCCAAAUUGAAAGGGAAACAAAAUUCUAAAUUAGAAAGGAAUUAAAAAGUCUUAAACUUUAGUUAAUAAGGAAAUUAAUCCUAGUAUAAUAUGGAUUCAUACUCUUCAUCAUUCCCCCCAGGGUGGAGAGAAUUCGCCCUCGAAUUCGGAGUGUCAGCAACAACAUCUUCAUCAUGAUCACCUCUGUAAGGAAUAAGAUACUUGACAUUAAAUACAUCUGCGGUGCGGAUAUGACUAGGAAGCUUUAAUCUGUAGGCAUUAGGAUUUAUCUUCUCUAUAAUCUCCAAAGGGCCAAUUUUCCUGGCAGAAAGCUUGUUGUACUCAUCAACUGAGAAUCUAUCUUUAGUUAGGACAGCCCAACAAGAUCUCCCACUUGAAAUUCCAAAGCUCGACUUUUUUUGUCUGCCAUAAUUUUAUAACCUUCGGUUGUCUGCUUCAAAAACUCUUGCGUAGUGUCAUGAAUUUUCUUAAGCUGCUCAAUAAAGUCUUCUGUUUUACUGUACAGCAGAAUAAAGUCUUCUGUUUUACUACUUUUGCGAACUAAAUCUGGAAUUGGAGCCAAGUCGAUGGGAGCUCGUGGAUUAUAUUCGUAAUUCACCUGAAAAGGGCUUAAACCAGUACUGCGCUUAACUGCACAGUUAUAAGUAAACUCGACUUGAUAUAACUUCUGAUCCCACAUCUUCAAGUUAUCACCAACUAGACUACGUAGAUGGUUUCCUAAAGAGCGGUUGACAACUUCAGUUUGACCAUCUGUUUGUGGGUGGUAAGCACUACUAAAAUUCAGGCGAGUGUUAGUCAACUUCCAUAAUGUCUUCCAAAAAUGGCUAAGAAAUCGUGUAUCCCGGUCAGAUACUAUAGAACUUGGUAAACCGUGCAAUCUAUAGACUUCCUUGAAGAAUAGGCGAGCAACAGUCAAAGCGUCUGUAGUCUUCUUGCAAGCAAUGAAGUGAGCCAUUUUCGAGAAUCGAUCAACAACAACAAAUAUUGAAUCCAUACCCCUCUGAGUGCGGGGUAAUCCCAAAACAAAAUCCAUGCUAAUGUCAGCCCAAGGUUGUGUUGGAAUCGGCAGUGACAUAUAUAACCCAGCAUUAGUUGCUGCGCCCUUCAAAACUUGACAAAUGCGACACGUCUCGACAUAGUGAUAGAUUUCACGCCUCAUAGUAGGCCAAAAAUAAGUGUUGGCGAUUAGAGCCAGAGUUUUGUCACGACCCAUGUGCCCUUCGUUAUGUAACUCUGAAAUGAUUUUCAAUCUCAAACUUNNNNNNNNNNNNNNNNNNNNNNNNNNNNNNNNNNNNNNNNNNNNNNNNNNNNNNNNNNNNNNNNNNNNNNNNNNNNNNNNNNNNNNNNNNNNNNNNNNNNNNNNNNNNNNNNNNNNNNNNNNNNNNNNNNNNNNNNNNNNNNNNNNNNUGGCAUGUCUGUGAGAGAGCUUGUCUUGACUAUUGAGGUAUUUUAACGCGGCAUGGUCAGUGUAUAAAACAAAGUCUUUAUGAAUUAGAUAAUGUCGCCAAUGUUUUAACGCUUGGACUACUGCGUAAAAUUCCACAUCAUAAGUGUUGGAGUGUGCCUUUGCUACAUUCAACUUCUCACUGAAAUAAGCUAUAGGCUUACCCUAUUGGCUAAGAACAGCUCCAAUGCUGACCUUAGAAGCAUCACAAUGUACCUCAAAAGUGAGUGAAAAAUCUGGUAGAGCAAGUACUGGGGCAGUAAUAAACUUUUCUUUGAUAAUCUUGAAUGCCUUAGUAGCUACCUCUGUCCAAGAGAAUUGUCCUCCUUUUAUGUAAUUCGUGAUUGGUGCCAUAAUAGUACUGAAAUGAGGAAUGAAUCGCCUGUAAAAAGAGGCCAAUCCAUGGAAACUUCUAGUGGCGGAUAAAGUAGUUGGCGGAGGCCAAUCUCGAAUAGCAUCCACUUUUGAUUAGUCAACAGAUAGACCAUCCUUCGACACCACAUAUCCCAAAAAUAAUACUUUCUCUGUUAAGAAAAUACACUUGUUUACUGUUGUGUAUAAACUUGCUGCUCUUAAGGCUGAAAGCACUUCUCUCAAAUAUUGUAGAUGUAACUCGUGACUGGUGCUAUAUACAAGUAUAUCAUCGAAGUAAACAACCACAAACUUUCCAAUGAAAGGGCGAAGAACUUGAUUCAUGACUCGCAUAAAAGUACUUGGAGCAUUGGAUAAGCCAAACGGCAUUACCAACCACUCGUAUAACCCUUCUCGAAUUUUAAAAGCUGUUUUCCAUUCAUCUCCAAGCCGUAUUCGAAUUUGAUGGUAGCCACUUUUCAAAUCAAGUUUGGUAAAAAUUGUUGCUCCACUAAGUUGAUCUAACAAGUCAUCUAAUCGAGGGAUUGGAAAAUGAUAUCGAACUGUAAUUUUAUUGAUAGCUCAACUGUCCACGCACAUCCUCCAAGAACCAUCUUUCUUUGGACUCAAUAAAGCAGGGACUGCACAGGGACUAAGACUUUCACGGAUAAAUCCAUUUUCUAGUAACUCUUCCACUUGGCGCCUUAAUUCCUUAUGUUCUGUAGGACUCAUACGAUAAUGAGGUCGAUUUGGUAAUGUAGAACCUGGUACCAAAUCAAUUUGGUGUUGUAUAUCCCGAAGAGGUGGCAAACCCUGUGGUAGCUCAUUGGGGAACAAAUCCUGAAAUUCCGCCAGAAUUGGUGUCACAGCUUCAGGAAUCUUCAAAUCACCGUUACUUUCUUUUCCCAAUAAAAUGUAGACUCUCUUUGUCUCUGCUUAAGCAACGUUUCGAUACUGUCACUUGAUUUCCCUUCUUCAGCCAUGUGAGCUUAUAUGGAGUUUGAUGAGGUUCUGUCUUUAAAUUUAGCUUUGUUAUGGCUUCUUCCAAAAUGACAUUCUCGCAACUGCCGGAGUCUAUAACCAUACGACAUACUUUACCCCCAAUUGUGCAAGUAGUUUGAAAGAUAUUUUGUGGUAGCCACUUGUCUUUGUCUUGACCUUUAGGAGUGAAGAAUGCACGGUUCACGAUCAACAUUGGUCCACUAUCACCAUGUUCUUCAACAGAUUGAGCGCUACCAAUACUAUCAAAAGUUGGCUCUACAGCAAACUCUUCAGUUUCUUCCUCCUGAUAGUCUUCGCUUUCCUCUGUGCCUACGAAUAAGUCUUUACCAUAUUUUCAUCCCUUUUUACAUUCUGUCAUGCGGUGCCCAUUUUCUCCGUAAUUAAAACAGCGUAAUCUCGAACCCGAGGAUUGGGUUUUGCUGCUUUGACCGAUUUCACUAGGCUUACUAGUUUUAUUUGGAGGAUUUGGAGGAGUGAAAUUACGAAAUUGGGAAGUUGGGUUUGAAUUAUCACGAACAACACUUCGAGCACCCCGAAAGCUUGAGUCAUUAGUACGUCGACUAGAUUGCUUCUCCAACUGCAAGGCUUGUUGGUGUGCCUCUGAAACAGAGUAUGGGUCAAGUAAAUUUAAUUGGUCUUGAAAUUGAGAUCGUAGGCCUCCAAUGUAGCGGGAAACCUGCUGUUCUUCUGUCUCUGUCAAGUCAUUGCGUGCCACCAACCAAUGGAAUUCUGUAGUGUAAUCAUCCACUGAUCGAUUACCUUGCCUUAAAUUCUGUAGCUGUUGGUAUAACAGUUUGGCGUAAUUAUGAGGCAAGAAUGCUCCACGCAAGUGCUUCUUGAACUUUUCCCAAGAAUCAAUCUUCUUUUUGCCUUGCCUAAUCCUUGUGAGCUUAGUUUGUUGCCACCAAGCUGCUGCUCUUCCACGAAAUCGAGUUGCAGCAAGCGAAACUAGUUUAUUUUCAGGAACUUCUUUGUAUUCGAAAACUUCCUCAAUGGCGUUAAUCCAGUCUAAUAAUUCUUCAGGUCGACCACUUCCUUGAAAUUCGGGAAUGUCAAUUCUCAACCCAGAUUCCCAUCUUCUGUCAUUAGUAGACUCAAUUCUAAGUCGACCCCCAGAGAAUGGGUUAGCAAAGCUUCCACUUGAUUUGUCUUCACGUUCUGGAGUACGAUGGCGUUCGUCAAGUAACUCUGCCAUUCGUGCCAUUUGUGCAGCUAACAUAUCAAUUCUGGCUGUCAUACUAGCCAGGGCUUCAUCUUUAGAAACAUCUUCUUGAUUGUAAGUUGCAGUAUGAGUAUCACGAGCUUUUCUUGGAGGCAUUUUUUCAAAUUCGGGUUUAAAAAGGUAGUGGGGCUAAACUGAAAGUAAAUAAAAUUUUGGGCUGAAACUGUAAUUAAGUAAAAGUUUUUUAUUUCCAAUGACGGUGGUCAGAAAUCGAGUAAGGAUGGGUGGAUCUGAAAGAUUUUGGGUUGGUAAGUAUGAUGGUGGUGGUGGUUUGUUCGAAAAAGUGGUGUUUUAGCCGGAAAUUGUAGAUAAAGCCGGCGGUUUUGGAGGGCUUCGGUUUCCGGUGGUUUGAGGGUCGAUAAAAGAUUUUGGGUUGGUAAGUAUGAUGGUGGUGGUGGUUUGUUCGAAAAAGUGGUGUUUUAGCCGGAAAUUGUAGAUAAAGCCGGCGGUUUUGGAGGGCUUCGGUUUCCGGUGGUUUGAGGGUCGAUAGGCGGUGAGGAAUGGUGGGAAAGGUUCAGUUGAUGGAGAGGAAUGGACUGAUGGUGGUUCUUCUGGCCAAAUCACGCCAGAAAGUAGUGAACGGAGGUGGCGGCGAUCGCGGUUGAUUUGGCUUUGUCUUCCGGCGAUCUGUGGCUAACAGACGGUGGAAGAUGCUUGGGGUUUGAUGGCCGGGAUUUAUGAUCCGUUUAGUGGUGGUUGUGUCCAGAUCGGUGACGGAAAAUGAGAGCUGGCAGCCUUGGACGGUGGCCGCGGGCUGAAGGUUUUGUUUCUAUUCUGUUUCGGUUUUUUUUUUUUUAACUAAACGGAAAAAAUCAAAGAAGGAAAAAAAAGAAAGGUUUGGUGGUAGAUGGGUGGUAGAUGGAGUUAGAUUGGUGAUACCAGGUUUUACUCUGAUACCAAACUGAUGCAACGGAAGUUUAAUGUUCAAAAUAUUCUGUUGAUUCUAGAGAAUACCGGAACAAAAGAACAACUAAAUUCACAUUGAUUCAAAAGAAUACCGCGAAUUUAGGGGUUAAGACUCGUUGAUUCCACAAAAUACUGAGAAUUAAUUGUUCAAAUACUCACAAAGAGAUUUGAAAAUUGAAAUAUUAUUGAACUCAAAAUUCUACCUUCAAAGGCUACAAGAGGGAGCUAUUUAUAGUAGUAGUAAUUAUCCUAAUUAAUGAAGUAAAAACAAAAUCCCAAAUUGAAAGGGAAACAAAAUUCUAAAUUAGAAAGGAAUUAAAAAGUCUUAAACUUUAGUUAAUAAGGAAACUAAUCCUAGUAUAAUAUGGAUUCCUAUUCUUCAUCAAACACCCAGAAGCUUCCUACGAGUGCAAUGGCAUUAACAACCAUUUUAACCAGCUGACGGACAAGUUUCAAAGCCUCAUUCAUUUGGUUAGGCAAAAUAGAAAAUACAGCUGUCGUAUUAAGCAAGUGAUGGACGUGUUGAAUCACGUGUAUCAUUAUUCUUUCAACCGAUGUUAUGUUAACAUCAUACAUCCUUUUGAUGCUUUGCAACCGACAUGCAAUAUAGUCAAAACCUACAUGCUAUACACAUCUUGGGAUAAUAAUUGACUUGUCAAUCUCGAUUAUAAACCCAAGUUUGAGUUUCAUCCUUCAAUAUUCUCUACUUUGAACUCAAAUAAGUUACUAAUCAUAUUUAUUAUCUCAAAACACAUUUGCAAUCUAAACUCUGCAGAUUCUAGUUGACUUCAAGCAAAACUCAAACUUGGCAUAUAGUACAACAUUGGUCAGCAUGUUUGCAAGGUUGUCAUUAGUGUGGUGAAAUCACCAACUUUACCAAACACCUCUAGUCUUAUGUAGUAAAGCUUAAUAUCAAUGUGAUUUGUCUUUUCAUAUUGUAUUUGAUUCUUGCUCAAAUAGAUAACACUCUAACUAUCACACUGAACAAUCACUUACUUUUGCUCAUACCCAAAUUUAGCACUAUCAUUUCGAGUUAAAUUGCUUUUUUAAUGACUUCUACAGUUACAGGUAUUCAGCUUCAGUUGUUGAUAAAGCAAAAAGCACUUUGCAAUGAGGCUUUUUGAUUUAUGGUACAACCAUUUAUUGAACAAAUAGCCAGUUAAGGAUCUCUGUCUAUUAAAAUCCCUUACGUAGUCAGCAUCUACAAAGCCCUUCACACUGACUUCACCCUUUGUUUUCCAAUUUUAUACAUCAAGCCAUAAUCAACUCUAUCAUUAAGAUAUAUUAAGGUCCAUAUAACAAUCUUCCAAUGUUAUUUACCUAGAUUUGCCAUAUAUUUAUUUACAACACCUAUUGCAUAAGAAAUAUCUAGCCUAGUUGGAACCAUUGCAUACAUUAAGUAACUUGCAGCACUUGAAUAUGGAAUAAAAGCCAUUUCAACUUCUCAUCAUCAAUUUUUGGACAUUGUUGACAUGAAAGACUAAAAUGAGCUAGUAAUGGCAUUUGAACAGCCUUUGAAUACCUUAUCUUAAACCUUUAGAGAACUUUUCCGAUGUAUUUCUGUUGUGUCAAACAUAAAACACACUUCAUUCUCUCUUUAAUUAACUAUACUCCAAAGAUUUUCUUAGUUGCUUCUUUAAGUCAUUUACAUGAUCUAUACUCUAACAAGUUAUUAGCAUAUCAUCAAUUUACAGCAACAAAUGGAUCUUGUUAUAACCAUCUAUAUUUUUGAAAUAUACAAAGCAAUCAAAAGUUACACCUUUGAAAACCAUGUUCAGCCAUAAAGUUGUCAAAUCUCAAAUGCCACUAUUUGAAAGAUUGUUUAAGUGUAUAUAAGGACUUCUUAAUAUGACAAACAUGAUUGGCUUUCUCCCAAUCCACAUAGCCAUUAGGUUAAGCCAUCAUAAUCAUCUCAUCUAAUUCAGUAUAUAGAAAAGCAAUCUUAAUAUUUAUUUGCUCAAGAUGCAUAUUAUUCACAGCAACAAAUGCCAAGAAGAUUCUCAAAGAGGAAUGCCUAACCAUUAGAGAAAACACAUUAGUAAAGUUUAUGCCCACUUUUUGCGUUAAGCCUUUGGUUACAAGCCUAACUUUGAACUUUUGUGGUUCAACACCUAGUAUAAUCUCCUUAAUCUUAUAACUCCACUUACACCCCACUUUCUUGUUUAUAGGUCUUUCAAUCAGAUCUCUUGUAUGAUUUUUUUGUCAAGGACCGUAUUUCCACUUCCAUGGCUUUCUUCCAUCCAUCUAACUUAUCACUCUUUAUAGCCACUGAGUUAGUCCUUGGUUCUUUAGUUUUAGCAUCAUGUGUUGCUGUUAAUGCAAAUACAAUCAGAUCUACAUAUGGAUAUCUCUUUAAUAGCCUAAUUACUCUCUUCUCUUUAUCUUUUACCAGCUGAUGGUCUCCGAUUCCUUGAUCACUAAUUGACUCGUCCUCUGAUUUAGAAAUUUCCUUUCAGAUCUAUAUUCUAAUUUGGCUUUUGUUUUGAACUUUAACUUGAUAAUUAACCUCAAAAUAAGUCUUUUGAUCCUUAUCUCUAGGCUCUAUGACUGUUGGUUUUGACUGAGCUCAAAUUUGAAGCAUUUUUGACUCAAUAAACAUAACAUCUCUACUAAUGAUAGAUCUUGGUAGUUUAAAAUCAGUGCAGUAGAGCUUGUACCCCCUCACCCUAUCAAGAUAGCUUAGAAACACACAUUUUAAGGCUCCAUGUUCUAGUUAUCCCUGCUUAAUGUGUGCAUAUAUAGGACAACCAAAGACCCUCAUACUAGAAUAUUCAACUGGUUUAUUAUACCAGAGUUUAAUAGUUGUUUUAAAUUUAAUUUUAGAUGAGGGGCUUUUGUUCACUAUAUAGUAGGUUUUUGAUAAAACAUCUGCCCACAAGGCCUUAGAUAGCCUUGAAUGAAUAAGUAUAUAUCUCACCCUGUCAAUCAAACUCAUAUUCAUCCUUUCAGCUAAUCUAUUUUGUUGAGAUGUGUAUCUCACUAUUUUGUGUCUUAUAAUGCCAUCUUCAAUACAAAAGUCAUCAAACAUCUUGUUACAAAGCUUUAAACUAUUAUCGGUCCUCAACCUUCUGACCUUUCUAUUUUUUUAAGUUUCUACCAAUGUUUUUCAAGCUUUGAACUACUCAAACACAUCAUCCUUAACUUUCAACAUAUACACCCAAACCAUCCUUGAAAAGUCAUCAAUAAGAGAUAAUAAAUACCUUGUCUCGCCUAAAGAAGCUAUAUGUGCUAGUUCCCAUAAAUCAGAAUAGAUAUAAUUUACAGUUCCUUUAUAUACAUAAACAUCAGACUGACUUUUACUCUUGAACACUUGCUUAAGACACAUUCUUCACAAAACCUCAAGAUCUUUAUCUUAUCCUCUCUUAAAACCCCUUGUAUUGAUAGUUCUUUUAAGCAUUUUUCCCUCAUAUGGCCUAAAUUCAAAUGCUGCAACAUUGUUUUAUCUAGAUCCUAUCUAGACACCCCAACAUCAUUUGUAACAGUAAUUUCUUGAAGAAUAUACAUGCCAUUAUUCUUGUCUCUCUUCAUUAGCAUCAUAGACCCUUUCAAUACUCUUGAGGGUAUCGAAUUAAAACUUAACUAAGUAUCCUAUUUUAUCAAACAUUCCGAGGGAGAUAAGGUUUCUCUUCAAUUCAGGUACAUGUUUGACAUCCAUUAACUCUUUAAACAUGACAUCAAACAUUUUCAGCCCAGUUACGCCCUUACCAACUACCUUAUAACAUAGAUCAUUUCCCAUUACAACUACCUUACCAUCAUAGGCUUCAUAGUUUAUGAAUAGGUUCUUAUUAGGGCACAUAUGGUGAACAAUGCCAUAUCAUCAUAUUAUAUAUGUGAACAAUGUCAUACUUGUGAAUAACACCGAACAAUGUCAUACUUGUGAAUAACACCGAAUAGGUUCUUAUUAGGGCACAUAUGGUGAACAAUGCCAUAUCAUCAUAUUAUAUAUGUGAACAAUGUCAUACUUGUGAAUAACACCAUAUAUGUGAACAGUACCGUAUAUGUGAACAGCGUCGAAUACACUUUUAUGCUCCUUCUAAGGUUUUCGACCGUUUCAAGCUUAAAAAUGUCAUUUGUUUUGCUGUCUGGCUUCUCAUUAGUUGUGAAAUGGCCAAAGUAUCCCCGAAAUACAUAAAAUACUUACAUUAUAAUAAAACACACAUAAUAAAAGCUUAAAUGAUUUAAACACAUAAAAGUGAAAUGUUAGUGAGACUUGGAGCAUAAAUGACAGUUUUACCCCGAAUAAAUAUGCAUUCUCCAGUACUCAACAACAAUCUUUCUUGAAGUGUCCUUCCUUGUGGCAUUGGAAGCAUUUUAGAUUUCUUGGCCUGGAUUUGGAUCUUUUCUUUUUUCUUUGGACAUCUUCUCUCUUUUAUGAUUUCCCCCUUACUAUCAAGCUUUCUCCUCUCUUGAUUUUUUUCUUUGUUGCAACCUUCAAACUCAAAGUUUCUUUGACAUCUACCAUGGAUGAAUGUGUAUAGAUGAAUGUGUCAACUAAAUGUUAAUAAGAGCACAACAAUAUUAUAGCUUUGUCCUUUUCAUCAAUUUUCACAUUAAUAUCUUCAAGAUCUAGCUUGAUUUAUUUGAAAGCAUCAAUGUGAUAUGAGAUUGAUGACCCUUCUCCCAUCUGUAAAGUGUACAACUUUUUCUUUGUGGCUAAUCUCUUAACUAUUGACUUCUUGGUAUACAAGUCCUCAAGUCUCUUCCACAAUCCUUCUACGAUCCUUUAACUACCAACUUCUCUGAGAACACUAUCCCUAAAACUAAGGACUAUAGCAUUACGAGCUCUAUCCAUCACAUUUGGUAAAUCUCCAUUAGAUAUCUUUCCUGUCUUUUUGGAUAAUGAAGCUUCACUAAGUGCUUCCUCUAAACUUGAAGCACUAACAAACCCCAUCUUGAGCCUCCACAAAUAAAAAUUAUUAUCCUUUAUAAAUUUCUCCACAUCAAGCUAAAGUGCUACCAUUGUUGAGAUCAAGAACUUAAAAAUAAGCUCUAAUAUUAAUUUGUUGAACCUUAAACCAGCAAAGAACUUAUUUAUAUUCCCCAAGGCCCACUCUAAACUCUAUGAAUUUAGGUUAACACCUAGAGUAUUGAAUCUUGAUGAAACUUGUACAAAUAGUCAUAAGUAAGUUGAUUAAAUCAACAAGAACAGAAUCGAUAAUACACACAAGAUUUAUAAUGGUUCGACCACUAUUUUGCCUAAAUCCACUGUGAAAAGAGAGAUAAGGUUUCACAAUUUUUUAGUUUUACAACAUACAAUAUUGAAGAAGAGAUGUAAUUGAAUUAAUCUAGACACACAACGGACCAUAAGGCUUUAUAUACAAAGAGUACAUGAUCUAGAAAGGUCCCUCAGCAACCAGCUCGUGUGAUUUUACAUAUGUUACCAAACUCCAAAAGCUUUUCAUGUGUGUAACAGCGUUAACAGCCGUUUGAACUAGCUAACGGACGUGUGUCAAAGCCUUAUCCAUUUUGUUAGGCAAAACAACAAAUGCAGCCAUGGUAUUAAGUAAGUGAUGCACGUGUUGAAUUACAUGUCUCACUUAUUCUUCCAGCUGACAUUAUACAAACAUCAUACAUUACUUUAGUGCUUUACAACUGGCAUGCCAUACAACCAAAACCGACAUGUCUUACACAUCUUAGGAUAAUAACCGACUUGUCAAUCUUAAUCAUAAUCCUAGAUUUAAGGUUUAUCUUUCAACAUCAUGUAUUACCAAGAUUUCAUAAUCCACUACUAUUCAACUAGUAAUUAUUUAAUUAUCAAUUAAUCCCCAAUUUUAGAGUGACAACACAAAAUCAUUCAAGUAAUCAUAUCUAAUAUAGGUUCUUUUUCGCUUUAAGGUAGGAUUUCUAAGUAUUAUAUGUAUCCUACUGAAAAGCAAAGAACCAAAGUUUCUAAAGUAUUCUAAGUGUCCAAUUUAUUAAAAGGUACAUAAUCAAAGAGAAUCUCUUAACUAUCAAGAAUACAUGAUAUUAAAGAUGAAAAGAUAAUUAUUCAAUUAAUCAUUUGAAACAACAAUCAUAAUCAUCAAAGAACACAUGUGAGGAAUUAAUUAAAUAAAAGUAAUUUAUUUCAUUGAAUAGGAUGAAAAUCCUCAAACUCAGUAUAAGAAAAUUAGUCAGACAUAUUUGAAUAGGGAGUAACAAAAUAAAGAAAAUUAAUCUUGCAAAAAUUGGAGGAUUGCUGCUCCUUUCUGCCGAAUGUGUUUGGCUUCUUCUCUUCUAAGUUCUCUUUUUUUUCUUCAUUUAUAAUAAUGUCUGUGACCAUAAGUUAUAGCAGAAUUCUAUAUCACUAGACCCAAAUUCUAAUAUGAAUCAUUUUCCAAUUCUAAAGUCAAAUUUCCUAAUUAAUGCCACCAUUACUUCUCAACACCAUAAACCAUCAAUUAGAGAUGGCCAACGGGCUUUAAAGGAAGGCCCAGGCGUGCUUGUGCUCAUACCCUGCUGCGCCCACCAUAUGCUUUGCGUCAUGUCAUACCGUGACAUUUUUUUGGCUUAGGCCCGACCUGACACGUGCACACAUCUUGUGCCCACUCGUGCCAUGCCCACAUGUGUUGUGUCGUGCCCUGCCUUGCCUAAGAAAAACAAAACACGAUAAGCUUUUUUAAAAUGUCAAGUUGUUGACGUAUUUUUUUCAAGCUUAUGUACUUUUGGUCCAUGUGUCUUUAGACAAAUUCAAUAGAAUAAAAAAUUUAAAACUCAAGUCCAUAUUCAAUAAUAAUAAAUUAAUAAUUGUAAGAGAAUGUAAUACUAAUUAUUGAGUUAGACUUUAUUGUAUUAGAAUUGUUUUUUAAUACUUAACAACAAUAACAACAAUAGUAACAAUAAUGAAUUUUUCUUAAGAGUUAACUUAAUUGUUAACUUGGACUUAGAUAGUGUUAUAGAUUAUAGUCCAUAACAACAUUAAUACAUAUCUAUAAAAUCAUAAUAUUUAUAAUCUUAUUUAUUAAAAUCAUGAUAUCAAUUAUUCAUUUAAUAAAUUUUAAACAUAAAUCAAUUAGAUUUUUUUAACUAAGAAUUAGAUGAAUUUAAAAUACUUGUGCUAAUAAAAUAUAUUAAAAUAUUCAAUUUCAAGUUAUUUGUAAAAUCAUAAAAUUUUAAGUUUACUUUCAUUAAAAAGUGAAACGUGCAUUUUGUAGGCUUUUUCACGUGUCAUGUUUUAGCCUAUCUCUAAUCAUGAUGGGCUUUUAAGGCCCGCGUGCCUAAAAUUCUAAGUUCGACCAACCCCCGUGCGUGCCUUACUGCGUCGCAUGCCCUAUCGAAAUGUGCUUGUGCCGUGCUGUACAGACACUUAUCAUGCAUGUGCCGUGUCAUGCCGUGCUGUGUGUUGCCAAGCCCAUUGGCCAUCUCUACCAUCAAUUUCUUUCUACGUCUAAUUGCUCAGUACGUGCUCUCCUCAAAGCUAUUGGUUCCAUUAAUUAUUGGCCUUUUUUUUAUCUUCUAAUUUAAUCUUCAUGACUUCCCAAAUUGAACUUUUUCAUGCAGGCAUCCCUCCCUUAUAGGUGAAAUCCAUACAAAUAGUUCUCUAAGCUGCUGCAGCCUUGCCUUCUAUCAAGUAAGAAGAUCGAUUCUUAGCCACCCUUUCGCCCUCAGUCAAAUUCGGGGAAAAGGCAGAUUAUCUAGGAAAUACAAUAAGAAGUUAUGCAAGGUUUAAUCGAUAAUCUCCAAUUAAUUUACUAUUCAAUAAAAUAAAUAAAUAAAUAAAUUAAAAAUAACAUAUAGUAAUAACUAACAACUAUAUAAUUAAGGACAAAAUAUGUAUGUAUUAUAUACUUAUCAUUUACUCUUAUAAGGUAAAACUACCAAGAAUUUACGUUAACUUCAAUAUUUUUCCAAUUUUAUACCAAACUCAUUGUUUAUAUUACUACUUCAUUAGUUUGAUUACUAGUCUUUUUUCUUUUUUUUUUUGAGAAGUGAUUACUAGUCUUUAAUUAAAGUAACAUAGUGUUUUAUAUCAUAAUACUCAUGUAAAUUAUUGGACUGUCCAAUUUAUAUCAUUUACACGUAAAGGUAGUUAAAAUAAUAAUUAGAUUUCAUUUUAAAAUAUUAUAUUAUCAGUCACAAAAUUAAAUAUAUAAAUUAGUAGAUAUAAUAACUCAUAAUUAUUGAGACAAUUCAGUUGUUUUAUAUCAUAAUAACAAAAUUGUAAAAUAAAACUUUUAUUGAAGUUUAUGAUCAAAGAAACUUAAGGAAAAAAUUUAAUAGAAAGAUUUAAUUGAUUGAUUGUACAAAUUUUUAUUAAUUUGUAUUUACUAAAAAUAUUGUGAAUUUAUUGUAAUUAUAUUUUAGAAGCAAGGUGAAUUAACAAAAAUAGUGGGUGCAAAUAUGCCCACCCCUUUAUUUUAUACAUCCAACCCUCAUAUAUUUCACAACCAAUGAUAGUUAUUCAUUUUUAUUAGUUGUAAUUUUACAACUGAUUAAACAGUUGUCUUAGAUGUAAUCUGUAAUCAUUUACCAAAUAAGCAUGUGAUGUGGAUGUCCAGCUUGGGCCACCGGAACCGAAUUGAAACAAAAAAUUAUUUUGAUUUUGGUUCAGUUCGGGUUACCUUCAAAACUAUUCAGUCACAAAUCUCAAAACCGAUCGGGUUAUAUUUUGAUUAGGGUUAAACCCGCACCAAAUAACCAACCCGAUCGGGUUGCUAUAAAAGAAAAAAUCCAUCUAAACCUAAUCAUACCUAGCCACACACACACACACACACACAAGACAUCACAAUUCCAGCCGCUGCCAAAUCCUUCACUUCUUCUUCUGCCGCUACCAAAUCCUUCACCUUCUUCUGUUGAUUUAAUUCUCACACACAGCUCACCUAUACUACCAUCCUCCGGCGAACCAUGACGACCAACACUACCACCACCAAGAUGGCGCCGGCUUCGCCCGAGGGAUGUGAGCAGCCAGUUGAUGGGGUUUAGUAGUUCAAAAGCGGCUAUGAAAAUAAGGGAGGAUGCUAAAGAUUCUUUUUUUUUAAUAUAUAUGAAAUUGAAACUAAUAUUGAACAGAAAGUUUUCAAUUUUUUUUUAAGAGAGUUGUCGGUUCUUUUCCUUUUGUUAGUGUUGUAAUUGUUCUCUCUUCACACUAGUCAUUCUUAGGAAUUUUAAAAGGGAAAUUAUUUCUGCACUAUUUGUUUGUGUUACUUUUUUUUUUUACAUGUACAUCUAAUUAUUUUUAAAAUUUGCAGAAGAGAAAAAUUUUUUAUAAAUAUUGUGAAUUUUCUAUAAUUAAUAUUAAAAACUUUCUUAUACAAAAUAAAUAUAACUAUGACUAAAAAAAUUAACAUGAUAAUUUGUAAAUGAAAUUAUAUUCAUGAAAAAUUAACAUAUUAGAUUAAGAUUUAUUUAUUUUAUUAAAUUUAGGAGUAUUUUUAUAAUUAUAAUUUUUUUAUUUUUUAAAAUUUUAUAAAAUAAAAUGAUAUUUUAAUUCAUUGAGAGAUAAAACAAUUAAUUUUUAGAGUCAAAAUGAUUGAUUGACACAAAUUUAAUAUGAAAAAAAUAAUGUAGAGAUAAUUUUACUUUUCUUAUAUUUAAAAAAAAAAAAAAUUCUUCUUUGUCUUUUUACGUAUUCUUAAUUUUUUUCUCCUUUGUCCUCUUACAUAUUCUCUUUACUAUUUUACUCCAAUUUGGAUUCCCCGAAUUCAAGUUGUGGCAAGUUCUUCCACCAUCGACCUUGAAGCCAUUGCCGUUGCGAGCCACAGUUUUAAUUUUAGUUAAUUUUUUGGUUAAUUGUUUUGUUAAUUUUUCAUGUUAAUUGUUAAAUAUUCUUAGUUGUUCAUGAGUUAAUUUUUUGAUAGGAUUUGAGAAGAAUAAAUUUUUUUGUUAAUUAUUAAGUUUUUUAUUGGAGAAAAAGAAUUUUCGGGAUUAAGGUUUAUCAGUUAAAUUGAACUCGAAUUUGUAAUCAAUACCAAGCCGAAGAUGUAGG
rnacentral:lncRNA from 1 species